GCUUUGUAUUGUUAUGUAGUAUUAGGACUCUAAAACUGUCUCAAAGGGAACAGUAUUAUGAAAUGGUUCUGGGGCUCUGAACAUAUAGCGAUGCAUGGACAAAGUGGUUGCUGGGCACAACCACAGCUGCUUGCCUUACUUAUGAUGUAGAUUAUUUCUCUUGAUGAUUGGGGGUUAGUGUGCUGAUGCUUUCUCCGAGCUCAUUGUGUUUUUUUGCCUCCAAGUACUCAAUAACAACCAUGACCUCUCAUCGUCAUGGCCAGUUCGUUGGCCAUGUUCUGCUUGGUGGCAUCAACUGAAAUUCUGGAUAUGCUGCAUUUAGUGUAUUUGUUUAUUAUGUUUUCCUUUGUAUAUGAAUGCUGCAGCGAACUGCAUUGGCCAGUGUUCAGAGCACUGCUACGUUAUGCCAUGAGAAAAUGCCUUGUUUUUUUGGUUAUGGAUAGUGUUUGUGACUUUAGCUCUUGAUAGAUAUACCACAUCAACACAUAUUGUUCCCUUGCUUGUUUAGAGCCUUCUUAUUGCAUCAUGCUUAUCCAUGAUAUGUUAUCUAUCUAAUCUGUAGUUUUGCAAUAUAAUGUCUUUUGAUAUUUUUGUAUCUUCCCUAAAGUUUGCACCUUUUUAGAGAAAUGAGGCUGAUGUGCCCAUGGAUCGACGACCAAGCCUCUCAAAAAGGUUGCAGGCAAGAGGUUCGGUUGAUAUCGAUAAACUUUUCUAUUUCUCUUAGUCCCAUAUUGUGUGAGGUACUAAAUAUAAGGCAUGGAAACAACUUAUGUGCAGGACUCGCCAAUCCCCCGAAGGAAACUACUAGAAAGCUUUCCGUAGGUGGAUACGAUGAAGAGGAUGGUGCUGAUGCCUGCACAGAUGGUCCUGAUAUACCUUGGUAACUCCACUUACUUCCCAGCCCUUUAGAGAUGAUAUAGCUAUUUUUAGCCGGUUGUUUUCUAGCACUGGUCUGUACCGCGGAUCGAUGUGUGAACAAAUGAAUUAGAACACCGCGCUUUGAAAGGGUAAAACUAAAGAUUAAAACUAACCACUUAAACAACCAUCAUUAUGUUGGCUUCCUCCUGAACUAAGACCAUUUUCCGUUCAUAUGCAAUAUGCUACAAUCAUAGGGUUAUGUGCAGAUUCUUAGAAAACAGUGAAGUUGGAAACAUUGGGAGAGUUAUGUUGCCAAUAGCAGAUGCCUACACUUGCAUAUCCAGUUAAUUAAUUAGGCUUUACUCUCUCAUAUGUUCACUGUGUACAUACCGGUGAUACCUACUGGCAGGUGAACCCUUCUACAGUACACCAUAGCUACCUAGAAUCAUGUUUAUCCAUGUAGAUGCGUUGUUUUGCUGCUCACUUCCUUAGGUUCACCGGGUUUGAAUGUUCUUCUUACAAUAUAAUUUUUAAGGUAGAAUCAGCUAGUUCAAAACUAUGAAUUCUUUUGAUAUUGAAGAAUACUGAAUAGUUGUCUAUACUCCUAAACAUGAAUGCGUACAACAAUUUUCUUCGGUUAAAUCAUGUGUUACUCCUUUAUAGAAAGUAACAAUAGUAUCAACACAACGUAUGAUGCAUUAGAAUGAGAACAUGUUGUUUUAUUCGUAGUGUGCUCAUUGCCUUGGUUUAGGUCUUCCACCUCCACAGUCAUGCAUGGGAUCAGGCUCCUCACUGUUGUUGCUUUCAUUAACCCUACCUCCAAAGACUCUUGAAGUGUCCUAGAGAAUCAUGACACCAUCGCUACUCAUCUAAACAAAAAUAUUCUCAUCGUGCUCUAAAACACUCGUAAUGUUACCUCUAAAUUAUUGGUUUCCUAGAAGAUUUUAGUGGAAGUGUAAUUGGUUCAGCUUGGGAACAAAAGUUGAAAAGAGAAGGUAGGUAUCACUGGUGGGGACAUGUUAAAUCUGUUUUAAAAAAACUGCACCUGCGCAUCACCAAUGAUCCUCAAAGAUUUUAGUGGAAGUGUAGUUGGUUCAUCUUGGGAACAAAAGUUGAAAAGAGAAGGUAGGUAUCACUGGUGGGGACAUGUUAAGUUGUUUAGAAAAAUUGCACCUGCGCAUCACCAAUGAUAGGCAAUGAACCAACACGUAAGGCAGUUUCCCCUUUUAUUUCAAAGCAUAUAUAGCUGCAUGACACACCUAUAUUUUUAACAACAAGAGAACUGACCAUGGUAGCACAGCUAAAGUAGCGACUAAAUCAUAGUAAAAAUGCUUAUUGUUAGGGUACACAGUCUGAUUUGCACGGCUAUGCAAUUCCUGUUGGUAUGUAGUCUGAUUUACAAAUGAGCAUGGGCAAAACAACAGUUCUGUCAGUGAUAUUGUGAAUAGGUAAGCCAUACCAGACAAAUGACAAAAUGUUCGAACGACAUUUAUAAUUAGCUGAUCUAGUUUCCCAUGAACAACUAAGUCAUUUGCCACAGAUAAAUAUGGUCCUAAGGUGAGUGAUGGGCUAAAUGGCCAGUUCAAAUAUGUAGAUAUAGAACACCCUAUACAGUCUCUAAAAUACAUGACAAGUACGCUAUCAGCGUGCCUUCAACUUCUAGGAUCUUCAAAAUCGUCAAAACAUUCUCCAGUUGCAGAAACUGUUUGGCCUUCUUCUGAAUCAUAAACUGUGAUGCCCUUUUUUCAACUUCGUUUGUCUUAUUGUUUGCAUAGUGUUAUCGACCUAGGGAUCUAUGCUUCAUGCUAUAAUAGUAUGUCAUACAUAAAGUUUUCUUGGUGCUCAGAAGCUCACAUAUGUAAACAUUAUAGGUUCAUGUGCAGUCUUCAGCACUUCGUUGUGCAUCUCUUAUUGAAAUGCCUGCUUCGAGUUACUUGCCAGUUUAUUUUCCAGGAAUCAACCAAUAGCAAAAAUGUUUAUUUUUGUGUAUCUGACAUAAAGAACUUUUUUCCCUUCUGCAGAUCCGAUGAAGAUGCCAUCUAGACAAAAGAUAAAGGAUCUUUUGCUUUUGUGCUCCUAGAAAUUAUGCAGUUGAUACUUUUUUAUCAACUUCUACCUUCCAUCCUAGUUGAUGAAACUUUGUGUUUUUGCGUCUGUGAAAACAUUGUAGAGGACAUGUUGGUCUACUUCAACCUUAUCCUCUGUAGUUAUGCUUGUCUUGUGUACCUGGAGCAUCUUGUUGCCCCCUUGACUUUGGGCCUUCAGUGAUAGUAUCAGGAUCCUAACAUAUCGACCGAUUUUUUUGCAUUUUAAACCCUUGUACAAAAAAUCACGUUUAGACCUCUAACAAUAUUCUCGUUUUUUGGAUCCUUUGCUCAGCGCCAUUACCUACGGCGCCGAUGUAACACUAAUCGGCGCCAUAGACCAUGGCGUUGAGGUAUCAACUUCAUUGGCAUUUGGAUGCUACGCUGGCGCUUACGUGGCGUGACCUCGGUAUCAUAGAUCAUGGCGCCGAGGUAUCAACCUCGCUCGUAUAGCUGUCCAUUCGUGCUCAGCUGUAUAGGAAAGCAGCAAUGAUAGCCGGCUUUCACUGCAUCAGCAGCCUCCUAGGCAAUGGACAACAUCAUGAUGUCUUCUGUACGUGCAACGCGAGGCAAUAAGAGAAGUAUUUAUUUGAUCGUCUAAAUCAGAAAAGCGCAUUAAAAGUAUUUAUUUGUUUUUGUGUCGAUUCGCUUUCUACCGUCAAGUAUUUAUUUUCUGGAUCGGAAAAGUAUUUAUGUGAUUUUUUAGAAAUAAUAGAACUAUUUAUUUUAGGAUGUCAAGAGUAUUCAAAUAACUUUAAAAAGAGCCCUAUAGUAGUAUUGUAGCACCCAACGUAGAUGGUAGUGUGUAGCCCUUACAGGACCUAGAGCUAGCUACUCGAUUUAAAGUGAGUAGCUAAUACAUAAACAUGUAUUUCCUUCAAAAAAGCUCAGAGAACUGAAAGAGUGAGGCAGAGGAAUUGCAGAGAACAUGAUGUGUGUACUUGUGCGUUUGUGUAUGCGUGCUUGGAGCCAUGCAAAUUAACGCAAUCUGCCCUCUGCCUCGCGUCGCACGUCUAGAAGACGUCAUGUUGUUGUCCAUUGUCUAGGGGCUACUGUUGCACGCCAUCGCCUAUGUAAAUGUCACAAACAGCGAAAGCCGAUCAUUAUUGCUGCUUUCCCAUGCAGCUGAACAUGAACAAACAGCUAUGCGAGCGAGGUUGAUACCUCGGCGCCAUGAUCUAUGGCGCUGAGGUCACGCCACGUAAGGGCCAACACAACAACCAGAUGCCAACGAGAUUGAUACCUCGGCACCAUGUUCUAUGGCACCGAUCAGUGUUACCAUGAUAUCGGUUGUGUUCCGUGUUUGUGAGAAUAGACAAACAUAACACCGUUGCGCGUGUGUCGCAAGAGGUUUCUGAAUAGGAGGGCGCACAAAGCGCGCCUCCUGUUCUAGUAAUAAUAAUAUAGAGAGAUAUGUGACCUAUGUCAUAUCAUUCACUUUAUUUUUCUAGAAAAUAUAGAAGAAAGCAAAAGUUUAUAUUUCAAGCCUCCAAGGGCUUCACAUCUAGAUACACAGGUAUUAGUCGACCAGACAAAUAUCAUUAUCAUAUAUGUUUCAGUUGAAUCCAUUGUCGAGACAUUUUUUUGGCCACGUCUACUACGUUGCAUAGAAGUUUUUCAUUUUUGAUCAAAAUUAGCGGUUUUUAUAGACUUGUGGAUCCAAAUUAAGGCUUAAACCAAAUUUCAAUCUUAAUAACCUUCUCAUCAAUUUAUGUUCAAACCAGGAGAUACAUUGAAGGGGAGAAGGUCCUUGUUUUUAUUUGUGUUGUCUCGCUUUGAUGUCUUUCAAGAAUCAAAACGAGUGACCAACAAUACAUAGGGGUGGUAAUGGAUCGUGAACCAAAUGCUUCUUUAUAAAAUAGUAGGUCCCUAAAUAAAUUUUAGUUCAAAAAUGAAUAGAAAUAGGAUUUGAUCCUAAUCCGAUCUGAUCAUUAAAUUUUAUAGUGUAAAAUUUGGAGCACAUUAUCACCCCUAACAAUACACCCAUCUAUGGUCUUAAAAGUUCUAUGAUUGCUUCCUGUGCACAUUCUAGAUCAUCUUUAUUCAGAUCAUACUUAAAUUGUGGCCAUCAUUAAAAAAAGGUGCCUAUCCUAUAGGUUCACAUUUUUUUCUUAAUUAUGUUUGAACUGAGAUUUAGUGUUUAAGAAGGGAUGCCAAGCUACUGGUGAUCGAUUGCCAAGUGAUCUCAAGCAACUGGGAGUGCAUGGUCGUAGUGAAAUCUUCAUCACCACGAUACCUUCACCUCUCUUUAUUAUUCCACUUUUACCUGCUCACCACUUUUCAACUAUGGUCAACCCAACUCCUUAUGAUUUGAUCAGGAAGAAGAGCCCCUUGCCAGUUUGGUAAAGGAGAUCAUGGGAGGUAGGAGGAUUUUUUUUAUCACGAAUAUGUAUCUAGAGGAAGAAGCUCCAAUAGAGAACACCGACAUCACUGUUUUUGAAAUAGACAUUUCUUUUAGAAUACCUCUUCGAAUAGAUAUCUUUUAAGGAGUGAUCUCAUCAGGAUUAGAGUAGGAAUUAGUAACUAUCAUACAUGACCACGAACUGGGCAUACACUUUGGCAUAAAGAGUGUGAAUGGUUGUCAUGACAAGGCAUCAUUUUACUACAUCGUUUUACCUUGUGUAUGUGUUACGUCUCUAGAUUAAUAAAAAAACACUAGUUCUUUUCUAAUAUUCUAUUUAUAUUUCAUGCUUUAACAUGUUAUUAGUAUUGUGUUUCUCUAUGCACUUGCUCGAAAGAGAGGCACGGGCCAUCCCAUAGGAGAUAAUGUCAUGCGACGAAAGGGUUUUGUGUCGAUUUGUUGCUUGUUCUGCAUGAGGACAUCACCACUGAUAUCGCCAAAUUAUGAUGUAUUGCUGCUUAUCACGCCCAAUUAGCGAAGUCGGCUCGACAGUUUAGCCAAGUUAGGCUAGGUGGGCAAGGAUUUCCAACUGGCUCUCAAGUCCAUGAGCGCUUGUUCCGAUUCAGAGAAAAUGGAAAUAAUAUAUACAAACUCAAUAAUAGUUCUUUGCAUCAAACAUCAAUCAAUUCGAUUUGAUUCUGAAUGCUUCAGGUGUGCCUCGAUUCAGCCAACUUCUUGUUGCAUCAGAAGUUGUACUUUCUACUUUUUAAGUACUCUAGCCUAGUGGAUAAUUUGUAUGUGAACGUUUGGAUGGGGAUUGGAUAGGGAAAUAAAAAUGGGUUGAGACAAAAGAAGGGGGCAUGAGAUGGGUGUAGUCUUUAUUUAUCUAUCCCUAUCUUCAAUUCAAUUAUCCAAACAUGGAAUCAAAUGAUCCCACCCUUAUUUCCCACUUUCUAAAUUGAAGGCCAUGUUGACUUGGAAAAUUUUGGGCAUAAUCUGUUGUUAAGCUCUGCCACUGUAUUGAAAGAAAAUAAGUUCCCUAGAAAUAUCAAAAGCGGAUCACAUUUUGAAUAAAAUGAAUGCAACUAAAAGGGGCAACAAAAAAAAGGCUUAAACACGUGAUCAGAAUACAUGGAACAAGCUUUUGACAAUAAAUAUUAUCUACUGGUGGCAACAAGUCGUUUUACAAUAUAUGUAAAACGAUACAUAAUAUGCUAACAGAAAAGUAGAUAGACCCACACAGCAUACAAUUGUUUGUGCAUAACACAGCGCAGGUUAGCCAGGACCAACUUUGGGGAUAUCAUAGUGCUCGCUGAGGUUAGCCAGGUAUUGGUUGAAGUCCUGCAUGCGGUCCUUGUACGACUUGUUUGCGACUUUGGCCAUCUUCUUCACGUCGAUCUUCUGCUUCUGUUCCAUUGUAGCGGCGCUCUGCUCGUGUGAGAUGGUCAUAGUCAGAAUGUGGGUUCUUUUCGUCUCCAUUCUUAUCAGAUUCAGUCUGAGACGACUCCUCACGCUGGUACUUCUUCUUCUUUUUCUUUACUCCACCAUCCUUCACGUUCAGCGCUUUACCCUUCAGCUGCAGCCGUCCUUCAACGACGCUUUGGUAUUCCAACAUCUUGAUGUAACAAAGAAAUUUAGUAAAAUUAUAGAGAGAUUGAUAGAGACUGCUGUUGAGCACGAGAGAUGGAACCGCGAAAUUUGUAAAGAGAUUGCCGAACCGAACGGGAUUGCUGGAGAAAUAUAUAUUACCAAGGCAAACGGGAUUACAUCGUUCAGAGUGUCCGUGUCCGAGUCCGAGCUCCUGUUCCACGCGGUGUCCGUGUCCGAGUCCGAGCUCCUGUUCCACGCGGUGUCCGUGUUCGUGUCCCAGUCCGAGCUCCUGUUCCAAGCGGUUUUUGGCCGUUGAGCAGAGCACUCGCCGUUGAGCCGUCGCAUCUGUGAUGCUGCGGCGGUCGCCAAACUCGUCGUGCCUGCAGUCGGAUUUGGCUCCACGGGUACGCCUAUGUCUCGCCCCUCACCCAUCUGCUCCCUCCGCCUCCGGCCAUGUGGAAUCCCCUCCUCUUCCCUCUCCAAAAAAUCUGCGACCGGUCUUCUCACCGUUGAGCACUCGCACAGCGCCGUCGUCCUGCUGCUGCUGUUCCAGGUCAUCGUGUAGGUACCGCCAACCACCUAUAUCUGGCCUUCGACAGCGGAUUUCAUUUCCCCUCUCUCGGUUCUAUAGGGCCUAGCUGCGAGGGGCUCCUGUUCCCUCUGGAAUCCAUCGCCGAGCAACCUCUAGCCAACGUAUAGUUUCUCUGCUCCGAUCUGCUCACCAAUUGUUCACCUGCUCGGCAGCACCUACCGAUCCACCGUCUUUUUUUUUUGUCCUUUGUAGGGCUCUUCUGCUGCGGAUCCGGCCAAAGCGCGGUAGUCUGGAACCAGUGUUGCUUUUUUCGUGUGCAACGUUCGUAGGUGAGCUGCCCGUUCGAGCGUCGUAGUUCUGUGUGUUCCAUGUCGUCAAUGCUCUGCUCAGUACUCUAGCCAUGCAGAUUUGUCGCUUACGAAAGUUACGAACCAUUUUUAUGGGUUUUCCGUCUUUGUUUUUUUUAUGGUUGUCAUAUUUAGCCUAAGUGUCUUGUAUAUGGUUUCGUUCAAUUUAUUGGUUUACUGGCACUUUCACUCACCUUUGCCGGUGCUGAAAAAUGGUCUGGUUUGCCUUCGUGAAUCUCUAAUCAGGUAGUGAUACUUACAUUGUGCUGAAUAUGCUGGUUUUAUUUUUAGUGUUCAUUUUGUUUUCCUUUGUAUAUAAAUGUUUCAGAAAGUUGCAUCGGCCAGUGUUUAGAUGGCUGCUACAUUAUGCCAAGCAAAAGUCCCUGUUUUCUUUUGUGUUCUGGAUAGCAUUCGGAGCACUUUUGGAUUUUGCCACAAAAUGCCUCUUUUGUGUGUGUGUGGAGCGGGUUAUGGAUGGUUUCUUCUGGUAGAUAGAUGAUUGAUUUUGAAAGAAAAUGGAGCCUCAUUUCUAUCUUUUCCCCAUCCUAUGUACUGUUACUUUUGCUCGCGCAUUACGCGAGCGUUUAAUGAAUUAAUCAAUACAUGUCAAUUUUUGCGAGCACCGUGUGGUUGCACGAAUGUUUAUUCAAUAUUCAAUACAUGUGAAUUUUUGUGGGGCACCGUGUGUAUGUGUAAGCAGCUACUAAUCUGGUGAACUGAACUGAUCCAUUAUAGAACAUGCUCAGAAAGGGAAAGUUUAGACUUACAACUUUUUACACGAGGGUAGGUAGGUUGCUAAGUCGAGCGAGCUCAUGGUCGCAGGCUUGAUAAAGAGGACCUAAGGCCAAAAAAGAGUGAAUUCGUAGGACUUUCGGUAGGUGGAUGAAUCCCACGGCACAUCAUUAGCUUCAACGAACUCUGCUACUUACCUCAAACUGUUGUUACAUUGAUUGCACGUAGAGCAUUAGUGCCUUGUUGAUCACUUGAACUGGCAACAUUUUGGCAGAAGGAUUCAGAAAUCCUUCUGGCUAGUCAAGGGAUUGAUCAACUUCUACCACUUCUUUUAAAAAAAUCAUGUUUAGCCUUUUGGACAACUUAAUAGUAUUUUUGGACCCUUUGCUCGACACCAUAUGCCAUGGCGCUGAGCAGGGGCGCAUAUAGGGGGCUACCCACUCGGUUCGUGGCUCGAGACGUGAUCUGUAUAUCUCUGCAUGACUUGAUUACAUUUAGGUCAAAAUAUAUUAAAACUCUAGUAGAUUAAAUAGACUGGCCUGGGGCAUGAUCAGAUCCUGGAUCCGCCCCUGGCACCGAGAUCUCAACCAUACUAACGUUUACAGGACACACUAGCGACUAACGUGAUAUAUCUCAGCAUCAUAGAUCUUGGUGCCAAGUGUGUGAGCACGGUUUGUUUCGUUCUGCGCGCACAUGUAUGUAAUGUAGCGUGCGGCACGCUGCUAACCAUGAGACUAGAGAUGACAAUGGAGAAUUCUCCGUCGAGGGUUGAGCCCCCAUACCCGUCCCUGCGAGGGAGAAGAAUCCUCGUUCCCAUCCCUGCGAAGUAUAAUGGAGAGGAUUUUCCCCCAUCCCCGUCCCCGAGCGGGGGAUUUUCUCGCCGCGGGAAUCCCCGUACCCAGUUAUACAUGCAACUGAGAGAUUAUAUCGAAACAAAAACUUGAAGUUGAAGGUUAGAAUAAACUACAUGCAGUCCUCGAACAAAGUCAUUUUCUCUGCACAACAAACUUAACUAAACAAACGCGACUCCUUUUUCUCUAGCUGAAAUUACUGCUAUGCUUACAAUAGCGCUUGGGGCAAACCAAAUAUAUAAGCACAGAACUACAGCUUUUAGAAGAAAAAACACUUUAGAAUUCAAAGUUUCAAACUCACGUGCGGCUGCUCUGGCCUCCACGCAUAAGUCAAGGCACCGAGACAUAUUAUCUCGGCGUUGUGGUCUAUGUCACUGAGCAAAGGGUUUAAAAACGUUAUUAUAUCGUCUAGAGAGCUAAAUAUGAUUUUCCUCUAAAAAUGCUAAAUUGCAAAGAAAAAACGGUCACCGCAUUUCUUGUGUUCUAUAUUUUUUUCUCGUUCAGUGAAUGUUUCGGUUGGUCCCCGUCGUUUUUUGUAAUUUUUUUCAUGAAAUUUUUUGUCCUGUCUUUGAUCUAUAUUUGUAUUUUUUGCUAGCAAGUGUCAUCGGAAGAAUUUUAAUAAGCUAUUUACUCACUAUAGCUAUUCUAGAUCUUUCUAACAUGGUGUCACGUAGAACAACUGAUGUAGUGUGACAUACUCAUGUUAGCUAAAACUGCUUAAGAGGUAAAUUAUAUGUUUUCAAAUUUUUAGGAGAGCAUAAAAAAUUAUUUUUUCAGUGGGUGAGAGUGAUUGUAAACAUAUCUUUCCUAAUUGUCAAAUGCUUGUUUGGAUACAUAGGGAUUAAAUGGGGAAACCUUCAAUUUUCAUGCAUCCAAAUAAGUUCUAACGGUAGAGAUUUUGAUGAAAAAUUAUCUUUCUACAACUUCUUUAAUUGUUUGUCUAAAUAUAGUUAUUUUUAUUUAUAAUUUUUUGUUAGCCAAAGAUAAAAAACAAGAACGACUCUAUAAAAUACAAAUGGGAUAUAGAAAAUAUGUUAGACAAUAAAAAGAUAUAGAAAAUUUUUAUAUAAAAUUUCUAUCUCUACUAUAUUAAAACAUUAAUUUCAACGGUGGUCAUCUUUUUACAAAUAACCCCUCACAUCUAUUUCGAAUUAACCCGCAACUUGAUAGAAGAAGGGCGAAAUACAUUGGGUGGAGCCAUCUAACCAGUAAAACAUCAUGCUCAGAUGUUUUUAAUAUUGAAUAUAUAUAUAUAUAUAUGUAUAUACGAUAAUUUAUAAAAUAAAAAAUAUAUAAUUGUGUCGGGCCGGGCAAGCACUAUGGGUCAAGGCUACGACCCAAACACGGCAUGGCGCUCGUGCCAGGCUAGCCCAGACACUACUAAAUGGGUCGUGCCUCGGGCCGGCGCACCAAACAUGGUUCAUUUGGUCAUCUAUACCUCCACAUCAUAAUGAUGGUCCUUGACUCAAUUGUCGCCACCUCAUUCGCCAUCUUGCUUCUUUUUUCUCUUCCCUCAUGCCUCCGCCUCCGCGCCACCCUAUUCUCGGCAGAGGGCGUGGGAGCAUGUGCCUCCUCCCCGUAUUCGUCCGACACCAGUCCCAACACCGACCCGCGCAGUGGCUAUUGUACGUCCACUUGGACGUUUCACAGCAUGCGCGCACCAUCGUUUUCGUCGUCGUCGGACGUCUUGUUCGCCUUCCCGGCCUUCGCCCUAUUCUUCCUCCCUAACCUGCUGCGUUCGCCCAUGGUCGUAGCCACAAGCCGACCGACGCUCGUCGACGUGGGUACGGGGCGAGUCGGUCUUGCUCUUAGCCUUUCUCCAUGUGUGCCGCCGAGGAGGACAUGGUGGCACCUGCCACGCUUUGGUUAUCUUGGCGAUGAGGAGUCCAGGUCUAAGAUAUUGGACAACCAAGGCCCAUAGUGCGGCAGCAGUCGGCAUAUGCUAUGAAGUUGGUGGUGUUGUUGUGUCGCCUCGGCGAGUCCAGGGCUAGGAAGGCACUCGCAUUCUCUCGACCUUCUUGGACUGACGCCUGGUGCGGGUGCCUCUCGGUUUGGAGCUGCUUCGGUUGGGCUUCUUUCUCGCUUGCGUGCUCUCUCCCUAUAUGUAUCUAGCAGUAUACUACUUAUGUCGCCUCCAUGUGACAGGUCUUCGUCGUGUCCUUCUUCGGCAAUUAUUGGGGGCCUUCCUCUUCCGAAGGUCCUAAAAAACGUGACUAAUAUGUUUUUCAGUGUAACACAGACUGAUACAGGAGGCUUCGACUUCGGGAUGAAAGCAUGCAUGAUAUGGAACAGGAUGAACGGGCGCCGAAGCUGUGGUUGAAAAAGCAUUGGCUUAGCACAACGACGAAGGUGGAAGAUGGAACCGACCUAAAGGAUAAAAGACUACUUAACCCUUGACAGCUUGUCUUAUUGUUAGCAGUAAAAGUCGGGGGCAUGAAUGUAAUCUUGUCCGGACUGCGUCCCGUGCCUAUAAAUAGAUGAACAGUAACACUAUACUGUUCAGGCUACACUGUAAUAGCUCUCGCAUCACUCUCACGUUCACGCCUUCCGACAAGCCGAAGGUAUCAAUAAAAUAUGAAUAUUAUGAGUAUUUAUUCAUGGUUAUGAAAUGAGAAUGUAAACAAUUUAUCGAUUUAUCAUCAUUAUUUACAUUCUUAUGUGUUACAUGUGUGUCGGAGAGGAAAUCUCCGGUCGGGUGGCGGAGUGCACCUGCCCUAAAUCCUAAGAUGAGGAGGGGCCUAAGUGUUUUGCUUGUUAGUUGGAAACUGGGAGGAAACAAAAGAACACACAAGGAUUUAGAGUGGUUCGGGCCGCCGGAGCGUAACACCCUACUCCAUUGUGUGAUCUGUUGCUUGAGAGCUUGUAUGAACUUGUGAGCGUCUGAGUGAGCCUAAGAUUGGAUCUGUCUUGUAACGCCGCAUGCCUCCCCUUUUAUAGCUGAAGGGGGGCAUGCACAAAGGUACUGAACCCCGAUAUGUGGGCCGAGAGACAUAAUGAAUAUAGCGCUUGGAGUUACAAAUGUUCGCUGCUGGGGCAAUCUUCUUGUGCCCUGAUAUCCGAGAUCUGCAUAUCCUCGGCGUGCAGGGGAAGCUUCUUGUAGAAGGGGUGGUGAGCACAGUACGCCACACGGCACGGGCACACUGUUUGUCAACAGACUGGUCAGGCGCGAUGUCUGCUGGAUGACCCUGACGCCGUCUGCCAGCGGAUUGGACAAGACGCAUUAAAUGCUGAGAGGGCACGUCGUCCAUCAGCGUGGUGGCAGGCGGCGCGUCCUCUCCGCAAUAAAUGCAGAGACUGUGCGGCCUUAGGGGCCUUUCGUCAGGCUCGGCCCGUUGGCUUAUGUCACGGGCCACAAACCACGCGGCAGCAGCGGGUCUCCACCUGAGUGGGGAGUGUAGGGCAAGGCCUGGACACGUGCUAGAACCGGAUCCUUACUCAUGCCGGGGUCCUCCCCGUCCCGGGACCUUGCCAAGGCCCGGACCUUACUCGGGGGGGCCCGGGGCCUACCCGAGGGACCCGGCAUGCCUUCUUGGGAGCUCCGGACUUGUACGUACAGGGGUUCGGUGUCCCUCUAUGGAGGUCCGGACCCAAUGAUGCAUCCUGGAAUGUAUUAUCUUUCCUUGCCACGUGGUGCCCUUAGACCUGCCCAUAUGGUGGGGUCAGGUGCCGUUCUCCGUGUGGUUUGGAGGCAUCGUACAUGUACAGCGUCUUCAUGCUAUAGAAGAGGGUACCCCUGAUUCAGGGUACUGAUAGUGGCCCCCGGGCCCGCCUUAGGGGAGGAUGCGAGCAUGCAGGUGGGGCUAGAGUCUGAUUAGCGGUUGGCCUGCUGCUCCUGCGCGCCUGUUGACGUAAUUACUGCCGGCCCGCCUAUGGUCAUGCCGACUGCUACGCCUAUUCCCACGGCUGACUGGCCCAUGACCUUCAUACUUAAUGUCACUGUUGGGCCAUGCGCGGGAUGCCUCGAGUCGCUGCACUGGUUCUGGAAACUUAUCUUUUCAGUCUUCCGCGUCGGCCCCGAGAAGACGUGGCAUUGGCGCGAGUGGCGGUGUGAUUUUUACGCACCCGGUAACCGACGCGUCGGCUGCAUGACAUGUGGGCCUGGGCCACCAUGCCGGACCGAUAGUUACAGCGAAGCUGAGGGGGCGCACAACUACGAGGCAGUUGUACGCUUCUUGCGUGGCGGUUCGCCUUCCUGACCGCUAGUUUUGGCGAAAACGAAGGGGCGCAUAACCGCUGGGCGGUUGCAUGCUCCUUGUGCAGCGGUUCACCUUCCUGACCGCUGGUUGCUCCGAAAAUGAAGGGGCGCAUAACCGCGGGGCAGUUGUACGCUCCUUGUGCGGUGGUUCGCCUUCUUCGGGUCAGUCAGUAUGACAUGUGGGGCCUGGCCCCCGUGUCAUAGGGUGGGAACCCUGGUGCACAUCGGGGGAGACCUUGCCCGUGACGCUUCGGGGCGCGAGUGGGGAGAUCUGCCUUUAAAAAGGGAUCGAUCUCCUAGCCAGUAGUCAUGCCUCGCUCUUCUUGCAUUCAUCGCGCCCUUUCGCCUUCGAGGCCUCCAGAUGGGGUGCGCCGGUGUUCUCUGGAGGGAUCCGUGUCAGGGCUGCCCCCUCCAGCGAUCUCACCGCCAGAGAGCUCGCGCUCGUGGUGGUGCUGCCAAUCUUGUCUUCUUGCUGCUGUUAGAGGAGCGCAACCCCGUGGGGGUUGGCGAUCUUCCGCCAUUGCUCGGCUUCAAGGAUUUUCAUCAUGCAGCCCAGCUGCAAUCUCCCGCUAGUGGUCAUCUAGAGGGAUGACCACCAGCCUUGUGGUGGAUAGAAGCGAGCCGGGCUGCAGCCUCCCCUGCCCUUAGCUUCAAUGAUGUUCAUCAUCCGCGCUGUGGAGGAGGGCGAGCCGAGUUGGGGUCCCGCCUUCCGCAUGGGCUGGCGGCCCGCUUCUUCCUCCAGCAUUCGGGGGAGAAGGGCGUUCACCAGCCUUGCGGAGGAGGCGAACUUCGGGUACGCGGGACCGACCGACUGUAGGCGCCGUCGGCCGCCGCGUGCCCGGUUCCCCGGCAUGGAUGGCCUCGGCGCCGCCUCCGACGCUGCCUCCUGCCGUUUGGUUGGGGCGUGGCUGCCCGUCCACCGCACGGGUGACGGUCGCGUCGUGCGCAGGUCCGCCGCAUCCACGGCUUCUCCCGCGCCGGCGGUCGCACCGGGGGGCCGUACAAGACGUCGUACGCUGCGGGGGCGGGGGCCACGUUCUUGGAUGGUCUUGUCCUCACUCCCGCAGUGAGGACAGGAGCGAGGACCUCUUCGCAUGUGAUGAGGCAGCCGUCGCCCACCGAUGCAGAGGUGGCCGCUGUCGUCGGUGCUGAGGUGGCCGCUGUCGUCGGUGAUGAGGUGGUCGCCGCUGCUGGUGAGGCUGCCCGUUGCAGAGGUGGUUGCCUCCGCUGGCGAGACCAUCAGUGCCACCUGUCGCCGAGCCUUCUGACUCUUUGGCUUUAAUGGCCUCGUUGUCGCCCCCGUAGGAAGACGAGGGUGAGGACCUUUUCGCAAUGGCGCACGUGCUGAGGUGAUCGCCAUUGCUAGCGAGUCGUCGUUGCAGAGGUGGUCGUCGCCAUCGGUGCUGAGAUGGUCGCCUCCGCUGGUGAGCCGCUCGGAGCUAGCUAUCCCGCGGCCCUACUGGUGUGGAGGUAGUUCAUACUGCAGAGUAGAUAUGGAACUAGGGCUCCACUUGAAAAACAAAUGUAAUACUUUUGCUUUUUGUAAGGUACUCAAGAGUACUAUUUGUUAAGCAGUAUUAGCACUUAUCUAUUUUCAACUUGUUUGUGAUGUGUGCGAUAUUAUUGACUCCUCCCUGGUACCUGGCCCCCCGCCUGGGAUGCAGGCUUGAUUUGUUGAGGUUGGAUACCAGCGUAUCUGAAAAGGUUGUCAAUAAUUCUCGGGAGGCAGCCUCGCCGAGGUUUGGAUCUGUACACAGCUUCAGCUAAGGAGCGUUAGUAGUACACCCAUAGGGUCCCCUGUCUGACAUUAGCCAUCCUUUGAUACAUGCUCGGGACUCACAGGUUUCAGCCCGGGUGGCCAAGCUGCGUGUCUGGACUCCCUUGGGUCGCGGUUCUAGAUACUAGGACACUUGUCGCAGGGCGGUAGAACGUGCAGGCCCACGGUACGGGACCAGGCUGAGUGGCUACACGGGCUCCGUACCACUCCAGGAGACUAAUGUCCAUUCUCUAGUUCCGGUCCCGAGGUUGUCGGACCCACAGGACUUAUAGCCCCAAAUACUAGGUACCCGUCACGGAGUGGUGGAGUGUGCAAGCUUUCGGGUACGGAAAUAGGCUAAGCGGCCACACAGGCUCCGGACCACCCCAUGGAACGGGGUCCUGUUCUCUAGAGUCGGCUCCCAGGUUGUCGGACCUCCCAACUUUCGUAUCAGGGGCCCUAAACAGCAAGCCUGGUUGCUCAAUUCGGAUGUCGUCAUGUCAGUACAGAUGGGAACCGUACGGGUGGGUUAGAUAAAAAGUAUUAUCUAAAAAACUGCAAGGUAAGACCAUGGAGCAGUGAGACGGAACUAUCAUAGGAGCUCAACUGAGGGGGUAGUUUUUCUUUAUAACUCAUCAUGCGUUGGUGCAGACCAACAGGCUGGGUUUAUGGGGACGGACCCCACCAGGUUGACGUACACGUAUGCGCUACCUGGUUACAAAAGGGAAACUAAAUCGACCCCUCAGACUUGCUCUAUGGAUAGAACUUACAGAGAUGUUUCAGCAUCGGGGUGAGGGACUCCUUCAGUCGUAGCUAGAUGGUUGCCCUCGGGUCAGUGCAUUCCCGUUACCUUGAAGGGUCCUUCCCAGCUGGGGGAGAGUUGCAGAGCCCUUCUUGGUUUGGUACUUGCCGUAGGGCUAGGUCCCGACCCUGGGUUCCCAUCUGCAUUUGACACGGGAGCCCUCGCCUUUGGUUGUGGCCGUUCCUGUAUGUACCUGUAAGAAGCCUAGACCCGUGGGGAAUUCAGAAGGGUUUUCGGAGGAAGGCAAGCUUCACCUCCGUAGACCGGGGAACACGGGGUCCCUCUGGGGUCCGUCUAGUUGUCUCCACCGGAGUAGGAGCCUCCAGCGAAGACAUCCUUCAGGUCCCCUUCGGGUGACUGAUACCCGAGGUCCCGUUCAGUCGCGGCCACCUCGCCGUCGUCCACCUUUUCUUUGCCAGGUCGGCGACGAGGUGGGGAGCCGCCUUUGGAAGACUUCUCAUGCCGCUCACUGACACGCUUCGCGAGGUCAAUGAUCUCACGACACUCCGCGGCUCUGUGGCGAUCGUUGGGGUGUACAUGGCAUGAGCCGCUGUUACCCCUCUACGGCCAUGGACGUUUGUUGCGGUCGCCCUGGCCUCCGGUCGUGGCUGCGACAACCAGAGCGGUGGACCGCGGCUUCUGGUAUUCGCGGUCCUUCUUCUUUUUCUUCUUUCCAUCCCGGGGGACGGCACCCGAGCCACCUGACUGGGCAGCUCCGGUUUGUGGGGCCGAGUGCCAUGCACGGCCCUCGGUGGCUCUAGCGCACUUAUUGGCCAGAGCGAAGAGUGUGGGGACAGUUUCCACGUCAUGUGCGGCCAACUUCUCCAGCAUUUUCUCAUCACGUACUCCCUGUCGGAAGGCCGUGAUGAUGGAAGCAUCAGAAAUGCAAGGUAUGGUACCUCGCACCUUGGUGAAGCGGGAGAUGAAUUUCCGGAGAGUCUCCCCGGGCUCCUGCCUCACCGCAUGGAGGUGGGCCUCCACACCGUACCGCGCUGCUGGUAAGCACUGGCGAAGUUUGCAACGAACCGCGCGCAGAGCUCUUCCUAGGAGUAGACUGACCCCAGGGCGAGGUUCAUGAGCCAGGUCUGGGCAAGUCCAGACAAGGCAACAUGAAAAUACGUUGCCAUCACAGCGGUGUUUCCACCUGCUGCCGUGAUGGCGGUGACGUACACCUACAGGAACUCCGACGGGUUCGAUGUUCCAUCGUACUUUUCCGGCAGGCGCGGCCAGAACUUGGGUGGCCAUGACACUGCGUGGAGAUGAUCUGCGAGAGCGGCGCAGCCCACAUCGGCCAAGGGGACACCCGUUUGAGACCAGGUACCCAUUGGUGUCUACGGUGCAACCGCAGCGAAGUCUCGAUCGAGGUUGUGACCACCGAUGUUUUGGCGGCGCUCGCGCGCCCUUUCUAAGAAGGCCCAGGCAUCCUCUCCCGCACGCCUGCGGUCGAGUUUUGCCCGGAGGUCGUUGGUCUGAGCGCCCCUUACUGAGGGUGAGCGCACAGACGCCGACGCCUCAUGUUGGCGCCGAGAUGACCAUGGCCUUGACCUGGUCGAGGUAGAAUGUGCCAUGCCGAGUAGUCGGUCGACGUCGUCCCGCCAUUGCUUCAUGGCCCCUAGUGAGGCCGUGGAGCUUGGAGGGUGUCGCAACAACUCCCUGUCUGCUAACAAUGCUCCUGGAGUCGCCCUCGAUGGAGUCCGGGAUGUCUGUGCAGCAGUGUGCUACUGUGCGGCGUGCACAGCAGCAGUGCCUGGCACGGGGCAGUUGGGAACUUGUGGCAUGGAAGAAGAAGCUUCUCCUUCGGCACGGUGCUCAACGAUUUGCACCAUCAUGCUUGAGCAAGGAAACAAGCAAAAACCUAAUGCCUAGGCCCCUACCUGGCGUGUCAAAUGUCGAAGAGGAAAUCUCCGGCUGGGUGGCGGAGUGCACCCGCCCUAAAUCCUAAGAUGAGGAGGGGCCUAAGCGUUUUGCUUGUUAGUUGGAAACUGGGAGGAAACACAAGAACACACAAGGAUUUAGAGUGGUUCGGGCCACCGGAGCGUAACACCCUACUCCACUGUGUGAUGUAUUACUUGAGAGCUUGUAUGAACUUGUGAGCAUCUGAGUGAGCCUAAGAUUGGAUCUAUCUUGUAACGCCGCAUGCCUCCCCUUUUAUAGCUUAAGGGGGCAUGCACAAAGGUACUAAACCCCGAUAUGUGGGCCUAGAGACAUAAUGAAUAUAGCGCUUGGAGCUACAAAUGUUCGCUGCUGGGGCAAUCUUCUUGUGCCCUGACAUCCGAGAUCUGCAUAUCCUCGGUGUGCAGGGGAAGCUUCUUGUAGAAGGGGUGGUGAGCACAGUACGCUGCACGGCACUGGCGCACUGUUUGUCAACAGACUGGUCAGGCGCGCCGUCUGCUGGAUGACCCUGACGCCGUCUGCCAGCGGAUUGGACAGAACGCACUAAAUGCUGAGAGGGCACGUCGUCCGUCAGCGUGGUGGCAGGCGGCGUGUCCUCUCCGCAAUAAAUGCAGAGGCUAUGUGGCCUUAGGGGCCUUUCGUCAGGCUCGGCCCGUUGGCUUAUGUCACAGGCCACAAGCCACGCGGCAGCAGCGGGUCUCCGCCUGAGUGGGGAGUGUAGGGCAAGGCCUGGACACGUGCCAGAACCGGACCCUUACUCAUGCCGAGGUCCUCCCCGUCCCGGGACCUUGCCAAGGCCCGGACCUUACUCGGAGGGACCCGGGGCCUACCCGAGGGACCCGGCAUGCCUUCUUGGGAGCUCCGGACUUGUAUGUACAGGGGUCUGGUGUCCCUCUAUGGAGGUCCGGACCCAAUGAUGCAUCCUGGGAUGUAUUAUCUUUCCUUGCCACGUGUUGCCCUUAGACCUGCCCAUGUGGUGGGGUCGGGUGCCGUUCUCCGUGUGGUCUGGAGGCGUCGUACGUGUACAGCGUCUUCAUGCUGUAGAAGAGGGUACCCCUAAUUCAGGGUACCGACAAUGUGCCUUCAUUUACAUUUAUUUAUUGAAAUGAUGAAGGCAUGUCCUUCGUGACCUUAGAAACUAAGCUAGCAUUUUCACUUCUAAGGCUAGAAAUUGAAUCAUGACAAAUGCUAAGCUCCUUUGAUAAGUUUUCACAUUUUUCUACUUUCUGAGCAUAAGCAUUUUUCAAUUUAAAUUUUUUUUGUUUUCUUUAAUUAGGAAGUCCUCUUGGCUGCCCAAGAGUUCAUCCUUCUCAUUAAUUGCUUCAAUUAAUUCAUUUAAUUUUUUCUUUUGGUCCAUGCUAAGGUUGGCAAAGAGAGACAUUAGAUUAUCUUCACUAUCACUAGAGCUACCCUCAUUACUAGAUGUUGUGUAUUUAGGGGUGGCUCUAGAUUGUACCUUCUUCUUUUUGCCGUCCUUAGCCAUGAGACACUUGUGGCCGACGUUGGGGAAGAGGAGGCCCUUGUUGACGGUGAUGUUGGUGGCGUCCUCUUCGGAGGAGGAGUCGGUGGAGCUCUCAUCGGAGUCUCAUUCCCGACAUAUGUGGGCAUCACCGCCCUUCUUCUUGUACUACCUCUUCUUCUCCUUCUUCUUCCCCUUUUUGUCGUCGUCCCUGUCACUUUCACUAGAGAUAGGACAUUUAGCAAUAAAGUGACUGGACUUACCACAUCGGUAGCACACCUUCUUGGAGUGGGAUUUGUAGUUCUUUCCCCUCCUUUGCUUGAGGAUUUGGUGGAAGCUCUUGAUGAUGAGCACCAUCUCCUCGUUGUCAAGCUUGGAGGCGUCGAUUGGAAGCCUACUUGGUGUAGACUCCUUCUGUUCCAUCGCUUUGAAUGCGACGGGUUGCACCUCGAGUGUGGAGGUGGCGCCUUGCUCCAAGUUGACGAUGUGUUUGGAGUCUUUGAUCAUUAGCUCAAAGCUCACAAACUUGCCAAUCACUUCCUCAUGAGACAUUAGUUUAUACCUAGGAUCCCCACGUAUUAAUUGAACUUGAGUAGGAUUAUGAAAUACGAGGGAUCUAAGAAUAACCUUGACCAUCUCAUGGGCAUCCCACUUGGUGCUCCCGAGGUUGCGCACUUGGUUCACCAUGGUUUUUAGCCGGUUGUACAUUGCUUGCGGCUCUUCUCCUUUGUUGAGGACGAAACGACCGAGCUCCCCCUUGAUCGUCUCCUGCUUGGUGAUCUUGGUCACCUCGUCCCCUUCGUGCGUGGUUUUGAGGACGUCCCAAAUUUCUUUGGCGCUCUUUAACCCUCGCACCUUGUUAUACUCCUCUCGACAUAAGGAGGCGAGGAGUAUAGACGUGGCUUGGGAGUUAAAGUGCCUAAUUUGAGCGGCCUCGUCCGAGUCAUAGUCUUUAUCCCCGACUUGAGGUACCUGCGCUCCAUACUCAACAAUAUCCCAAAUACUUUCGUGGAGUGAGGUUAGAUGGUGCCUCAUUUUAUCACUCCACAUACAAUAAUCCUCACCAUCAAAAUAUGGUGGUUUGCCUAGGGGUACGGAAAGUAAUGGAGCGCACUUUGAAAUACGGGGAUAGCGAAGAGGUAUCUUACUAUACUUCUUGCGCUCAUGGCACUUUGAAGCGACGGAUGACUCGGAGCUUGAUGUAGAGGGUGACGAAGAGUCGGCCUCGUAGUAGACCACCUUUUUCAUCUUCUUCUUCUUGUCACCUUUCCGAUGCGACUUGAUGGAGGAAGAGGAUUCCUCCUUGUGUUUGUUGUCGGACUCCCGUGGGAGAGUCCUCCCUGAGCUUGCGGACUUAUCGCCGGUCAUAAUUUCCCUCUUGGCGUGAUCUCCCGACAUCACUUCGAGUUGUUAGACUCUAAUGAAGCACCAGGCUCUGAUACCAAUUGAAAGUCGCCUAGAGGGGGGGGGUGAAUAGGCGAAACCUGAAAUUUACAACUUUAAACACGUAGUAAGGUCGGGGGUUAGCGUUAGAGUUAAAUUCAAGUCGGAAAGAGAGGGAAAACAAAUCAACUAAGAAAUAAGGCGAGUGAGCAGGGUGAUUUGUUUUACCGAGGUUCGGUUCCAAAUAACCUAGUCCCCUGUUGAGGAGGUUCAAAGACCGGGUCUAUUCCAACCCUUUCCCUCUCUCAAACGGUCAGGUAGACCGAGUGACCCUUCUUCCUUAAUCUCACGGGUCACUAAGACCCGACAAGGACCACCACACACUUGGUGUCUCUUGCCUUGCUUACAAAGCACUUGAGAAUAAGAAUGUGAAAAGAAGAAAGGCAAUCCAAGCGACAAGAACUCAAAUGAACACAAAAAUCUCUCUCUCACAAACCACUAAGUGUUUGGAGUGAAUUUGGGACUCGGAGAGGAUUUGAUCUUUUGUAUUGUGUCUUGGAGUGAAUGCUAGAGCUCUUGUAUUAAAUGUGAUCUUCAGAAAACUUGGAUGCUUGAAGUUGUGGUGGUUGGGGGGGUAUUUAUAGCCCCCAACCACCAAGGUAGCCGUUGGGGAAGCUGCUGACGAUGGGCGCACCGGACAGUCCGGUGCGCCACCGGACAUGUACUGUGUGCUGUCCGGUGCGCCGCCACGUCACCCAACCGUUAGGGUUCGGAGCUCGGACAACCGUUGGAACUUUGUCCUCUUGCGGCACCGGACAGUCCGGUGCCCUCUAACUUUGCAGCUCUGACUUCUGCGCGACACUGUUGCUCACUGUAGCUCCUGUCAGAGUCAACCGUUGCGCGAGUUAGCCGUUGCUCCGCUAGCACACCGGACAGUCCGGUGAAUUAUAGCGGAGCGGGUCUGCGUUUUCCCGAGAGUGGCUGCUUCGGAAUUGUACGGGCAUGGUGCACCGGACACUGUCCGGUGGCACACCGGACAGUCCGGUGCGCCAGUCCACACCACACUCAGGUUCUUUGCUCCGGUUCAAUUUUAGUCCCUAACUUGAAUCUUUUAUUGGUUUGUGUUGAACCUUAAUUAUGCACCUGUAAUACAUGAGUUCUAGAGCAAACUAGUUAGUCCAUAUGUUUGUGUUGGACAUUCAACCACCAAAAUUAAUUGUAGGAAAAGGUUAACCCUAUUUCCCUUUCACUUGCCCCUUUCAGGUAAGGUAAUCUCUCCCUAGCUUUCCUAAUUACUUGGCCAAGGGUGUCCCAUUCCACCCUUGUGGUAGCACUGUUUUCCCGGGUGUUCUCCAUGUUCCAAUUAACACAAAAAUCUUAUCAUGAACAAUAAAUAAUCAUCAAUAAUAAUAAAGAAUGAUCAUGUGUCAAAUUUAUCUCAACAUCCAAAACCAUAUAUAGCAAUAGCAAGACUACCCAAAAAGUUCAGUGCUGAUCAAGGCCAUAGUGGUUAAGCCUAGGGUGACAUAUUGGGUCCCAUCAAAAUUAAGCCUAAUCAUGCCAUAGUGAUUAUAGAGAACAUUAUUGGAUAAAUAAAAGUGGUCAAGGGCACAACUUGCCUUCAACGAGCUCCUCCUCAGAAUUAUCCACCUGUUGAACACCAGGGUCCUCAGUGGCUUGCUCGUCUACUAGCAACAAUACGAACAAACAUGGUACAGGAGAAAUUAACAUCACACCAAACAUGAGAUCAUACUGCAUAAUAAUAUUCUACGCAUCGUAACGAGAUCGUAGGAACAAGAAUCACUGAAUUCGGUGUUACGAUUGUCGAGUUAUGAUUUUAUGAAGUUAUUAAGUGGGUGAUACAGAUUAAGGCAAAUGAAUAAUUUUAGUCUAUGUUUCAUGGAUAAACAGAGUUACCAGUUGAUAAACAAUAUUAAUACAAAAUUAUUGCAACUAGAAUGGAUUAAAAAGGAAUUAAAAUAUAUUACUUAUGAAUUUAGCAAGUUAUUGAAAUUAUUUUUUAUACAAAAAUUCAUUUUCUACAUUAUUGCCAUCAGCUUAUCUGUUUCUGGGUUGCGCACAUAAUUACCAGAAAGCUCCGGGUUAAAUUUUUAAAUCUAAGGGUUUAAACUCAGAUACUCCCUAACCUGGAUGGACGACGGGUUAGUUAUCAUAUUUUCCGGGGUCCCUUAUGUAAAAACUACACGGUGAAGUACGCGCGAUCCACGCGGAUCCGACCGAUCCACCCUCAACGACCUAGAUCACACCACGAACCGGUACGAACACGCGAGAGCAGGAUUCCGAUCCAACGAUCCACAAGCUUGCCUUACUCUCGUCUGCACACCUGCUGAUCACCGGCCGAGAUGAAUCACGGCUUGGGUCUCAUAUAUACAGGCGUGGACUGCCACCCAGUGCCAGGCACGCGUAACAACCCAAGCGGCAGCGGCGUCUUCGCCCGGUGGUUUUGGCAUCAGCUGCGACCAGAGGUGAAUGGUGGCCCGACCCAUGGGACCCAUGUGGCGGUGAGCAAACGAGAUAGAACCCACCUAGGUGACACUGGCACAUGGGCCCGGUUGGUCGGCGCAGGUGGGUAGUGUGGGCUGGUGGUUUGAGCACUAAGUGGACCGAGAACGAGAAUUCAGCCCAUGAGCGUGGUGUUGCUCUUCAUUCCCGUUUUCUUUUUCCAAAUUGAAAACUUCAAUUCAAAUUUAAAUUCCUGUCUUGAAUUUCCAAAAUUCCAAUCUUAAUUGUACUUUCAUUUUUCCCAUAAUAUUAUUAUUCAUUAUCAUUAUUAUUGUCAUUAUUAUUAUUAAAUGCACAAACAAUUAAAUUCCAAUAUGAUGCACUAUUUUCUUUAUUUAACAUAAUUGAUGCAAAAAUGAGAAAAUUAGCAUAAGUAGUCAAAUAAACCUUUUAUAUUUUCUCAAUUCCUGUACAUUCUAUUCCUCCCAACAUUUGGGUAUUACACUUUCUUGCUAGUACUUUUUGAAAAUCAAGAAAAGCGGUCUUUGGCUUGAUUUGCGUAGACAUGAGUACACACUUUUGUUGCAUCGAUGACUUAUGUUUUGGUUAAGUGGCACCAUUAGCCCCCUGCUUUGUGAGGUUGGACGCAAAGAAAAUGCAUGCGAGAAAAAGUUAUCUAUGGGUGCAAGAGUAAUGGACAAGGCUGGGGCUCUAUACCUCUAUGGAAGCAGUGAUUGUCCUCAGUCAUAUUUUCUACCCACAUCAUGAUCUUGCUUCUGUUUUCUUCGAUUUAUUACUCGCUCAGUAUCUAUCAAGUAUAAUCGUGUUCUAAAAUAUUUUUAGAAGCGAAAUGAGGAGACUGAAACAUCUGAAUGUUUUUAUGUGGAGAAAACACGUAUAGUCUUCAAAGUUCUCUGAUUGCUUCAUGUUCAAUCUUUUCUUGGCCCACACCCUUUCAUGUGAAUUAAAUCAACAUGUAGCGACUGCAAAGUAAAUGAGGAAUCUAUACCAUCUUUUACUGUGCUGUUGAUAAUUAACAGAUGGUCUUCAAAGUUCUGUGAUUGCUUUAUUUAUGUACCUUGUACCUAUGGUAUUCAAAUGAUGUUUGUCUAGUGCAGCAGUAUUCUAUUUUCUUUAACUAUGGCAUUUGAAUACUGGUACCACUUAUGCUUGAGUUUGAACUGUAGUAUUUAGUCGCUGAGAAACAACAUGAAGAGGUCUUGUGAUCUGAAGAUAUCAUCUGAUGUUGAUACAUACAUUCGCUACAGUAAACGAAACAACUUACGACGGCCAAAGCCGUCGGACAUAAGCUGUAAACCGUCGGACGUAGCUUAUGUCCGACGGCUUUGGGUUAUCUCCGACGGUCUCUAGCCGUCGGACAUAAGGCGUCAGAAAUAGUGUUAUGUCCGACGACAGCUGUCGGACAUAACUUAUCUCCGACGGCCGCAACCACCCGUCGGAGAUAGUGACUGUCAAUCGUUUUACCGGUCGACUGGUGGAACCCACAACUGUUAUGUCCGACAGCCUGACGUCAGCCGUCGGACAUAACAGUAUCUUAUGUCCGACGGCUUAAAUAUAAACCAUCGGACAUAAGUAGCCCUUAUGUCCGACGGCUGACGCCAGGCCAUCGGACAUAACAAAUUUUAGAAAUUACACAAAAUUCAAUUUUUUAAAAAAUCUGACAUUUACAAAAACAAAACAGAUUUCAUGCAGAUAUACACAUUCACAAUCACAAAUAUACUCACAUAAGUAUUCACAAUCACAAAUAUACUCACAUAAGUAUUCACAUUCACAAAUUUAACAUAACGACAUAUAGUUCCAAAUGGUUGCAACAAGUGUUUUACAUCAACAUAUAGGUCCAAAAUCAAAACUGACAUUAUUCGACGGAUAGUCUUUCACAUGAAUAGUAAUAGUUCCAAUUUAAACACAUUUGAUGAACUAUCACUCAUAUCCAUCGCCUGGUUGGUUCGAGUUAUAGCCACUUCCUCCGGCUGGACUCUGCGUGUUGAAAAGGUUGUUCACCCAAGAAUGUGAUGCGUCGUCUUAGCCAAGCGCACAUGUCCAUCGCCGCCGUAGUUGUAGAACGACUCAGUCCACGGUUUCCCCCGUUCCUUUCGGAAAUGGCACGAAACUCAGGGGAAACCCACCAUCUGCACAAGGCCCGAUAACCCUCUAAUCGGGUGGCCAUCCACGGCACCGACACCUACAUGAAUUUUUUUCAAUAAAGCAAAUACAUGGAUUCGUGCGAUAUGAGAUGCAACAACUUGUUUACCUCAAGGUAUUGCUCCUCCGUAAGGUAAAUUGAUGACCACUCGGCCUUGGUAUUUGGCAUCGGUCGAUCAUCAGCACUUGCUCUGUACCAUGCCUUUAUAGCCUGAAUUCGUGCAUAGUACAUUGCAUCUGCAACGACAUCGUUCGCGUUAUACUCAAACACGUAACGAGCGUUCAUAUCAUAUGAUCCAUCGUCCGGCAACUUGUACCGUUUCUGCAAAAAAUUAGUGUUAUCAUAAAAGCAACCAUAUAUGGGAUAACUAAAUUAGUAUAAACAAUUCAUACCCAGAAUGCAUCCCAAACUAGUGCCUGUGUGUUGCCAAACAUUCUACAGACACCAUAGCGAUAAUGCUCCCAAGUGGUGGCGGGGACAGACUCGCCACUAGGCAAAGUCACAAGACCAGGCCAGUGCAGACGAACAAGAUUACCAAGGACCAUGUUCACCUGCCUGUAGUGUCCUGUGCCUGUGAACGAGUCGUCGAUCCAAGUCCUGCAAACAGAAAACAAUGUAGAAAUGAAAACAUAAAUUUCAAUAACAAUUAAGCAAAGGUAUGUCACUCACUUUCCACUAGGCUUUAUCAAAACCUGAGAUUCGAGUGGAAGCUCUGGAGGUGGUCCAACAAAAUGCAGCUUCCUCGUUCUCCUAACUCGAGAAGUUCUAGACCUAGCUGCGGAAUCACCACCAGCCCUAGAAUCCAUGCCUGCAGAAUACCCACCAGCAUCGUCUCCAGCAUCAUCUCCCACAUCAUCUUCAGCAUCAUCUCUCGCAUGAUCAUCUACCACUUGUUCCUCGAUUUCAGCAUCCUAUGAAACAAGUAACUUACAUCAUACAAUAUUAAGUAACUCAAAUAAUGUAAAUUAACAACUAACUUACAUCAUGUGGAGGCAAAUGUUCUGCCAGCGCUCUGCGUCUGCUCAUGGUAGAACCUGUGCCCUGAAAAACUGAAUCCUCACCCCUCGAGCUACUCCUCAUCCCAAGCAAACUACGAGCAAUAGACCUCAUUUUCUUUGACAUCCUAUUUUAACAAAAAUAAGUUAGUACACAAAUCGAUAAUAAAAUAAUGAAACAAAUGAAAUAUAUAUAUAUAUAUAUAAUAUUCAAUAAAAUCAUGAUCCAUACUCGUCAAUUGUAAUUGUAAUCAAAAUCAGGGUCUAGUUGCUUUCGUCGAUUCAAUGGACGCAAGUAGCUUUCUUCUUUCUCGCUAGGUAACUUGAUUACGUUUACUCGAUUAUUUAAGUAAAUCACCCCUAUAUCUAUAGGAAAGAAUAAGUAAAUUACGUAGUUCAACUAAUAAACUACCACUAAGUAAACCAAAACAAUGUCACGAGUUCAACUAAUAAACUACCACAAUAAUAUAUACGAAAUAACAUAUAAUAUAUACGAAAUAACAUUGUCACGAGUGCUAAAUUAUAUAAAAUAACCUUAUUUCCGAGGGCAUAAUAAAAACCCUCGAAAAUUAAAAGUUUAAAUUAUCUAAACACCACUAAGUAAACUAAAACAAAUUAAAUUUAUUACAUAAUCAAAUUCCGGCCGUCGGACAUAACAAGCUAAACAAUAUUAAACAUACAAAAAAAUUAAUACUGAAAAAAGACAACUAGAAAAUAAUAUAUACAUUGAAAAAAUUAAAAAUACUCACUUAUCGGCUUGACGGCGGGACGGUGGUCGGUGUGGGCGGGACAGAGGAUGAGUCGGGGUAGCCGGCGUCGGGACAGGUGCCGGGGCGGCGGCGGGCACGGGCACGGGCGGCGGCGGCGGGCAUGAGUGGUGGCGGCGGCUUAAGCAGGCGACGGCGGCAGCGCGACAGCGAUGGCUAAGCACGGCAGAGAGAGGACCAGAUGCAUAAAUGAAACGGCGCGCGGUGCCUGGCCCACGUUAAAAUAUCUUAUGUCCGACGGCUAUCAGUUCGGCCGUCGGACGUAAGCUUAUGUCCGACGGCUUCUCUGACAGCCGUCGGACAUAAGACGCUAUUUCCGAGGGCCAGCAGAGACCGUCAGACAUAAGCUUAUGUCCGACGGUCUCGUAGAUAGCCGUCGGAGGUUAAGUGGUCGUCGGAUGUGCGUCGUUUUACUGUAGUGAUUCAUGGUCUUCAAAGUUCUCUGAUUGCUUCCUUUACCUACAUCUUCUUAUCUAAAAUGAUUCUGAGUUAUGUUUAGUUUCUUUUCUGCCUGAAGCUAUAGCUUUAAAAUAUGUCUUAACUAAUAGCAAUGAAGUUUUUUGUCACGAAGCAAAAGGAGGUCAUAUAUGUUUUGAAGUAUGCUAGUAUGAUGUUGAUACAUAUUGGGGGGAAUGUCUCUGCCGAAGGUCCUCAAAAUUAAUUAAUACUGACAGUUUUUCAUAAUUUGUCUCACGAGUAAUUAACAUAUGUUUGUCCAAAAAUGAAGACCAACAUGUUUGCCGCUGCUUCAGAAGAAAUGACAAUUAUGUCCCCAACAAUUCUUAUAGAUGUAUGUAUAGGUUUUGAGACUAUGAUAGUAAUUUUACAUUGAGUUGUAUAUUGAGUUGUCCAUAUAAAUAGGUGAACAGUGCUCAUGCACAGACCGAACAUGAUUUCACGGCAUGCCGCCUAGCUCCACCUACGAAGCUAAGUUUACCUUGCUGGUUGUUGUCUAUACUUAUGAAGAUAUAAUUGUAUUCAUUUACAAUAAGAAGAUAAUACAAAGAGCACAGCUAUGAAGAUUUCUUUUGUGUAUUUAUGUGUUCUUUAUUUCAUUAUGAUUUCAAUCUCAAUAACGUUCUCAACAAUUUAUGUUCAAAGCUGAAGAUAAAUUGAAGGGGAGAAGGUCCCUUGUUUUUAAUUGUUGUCUCGCUUUGAUGUCUUUCAAGAAUCAAAACGAGUGACCAACAAUACACCCAUCCAUGGUCUUAAAAGUUCUAUGAUUGCUUCCUGUACACAUUCUAGAUCAUCUUUAUUGAGACCACACUUAAAUUGUGGCCAUCAUUAAAAAAAGGCGCCUAUCCUAUAGGUUCACGAUUUUUUUAUUAAUUAUGCUUGAACUGAGUUUUAGUGUUUAAGAAGAGAUGCCAAGCUACUAGUGAUCGACUGCCAAGUGAUCUCAAGCAACUGGGAGUGCAUGGUCGUAGUGAAAUCUUCAUCACCACGAUACCUUCACCUCUCUUUAUUAUUCCACUUUUACCUGCUCACCACUUUUCAACUCUGAUCAACCCAACUCCUUAUGAUUUGAUCAGGAAGGGGAGUCCCUUGCCAGUUUGGUAAAGGAGAUCAUGGGAGGUAGGAGGAUUUUUUUAUCACGAAUAUGUAUCUAGAGGAAGAAGCUCCAAUAGAGAACACCGACGUCACUGUUUUUGAAAUAGACAUUUCUUUUAGAAUACCUCUUCGAAUAGAUAUCUUUUAAGGAGUGAUCUCAUCAAGAUUAGAGUAGGCAUUAGUAACUGUCAUACAUGACCACGAACUGGGCAUACACUUUGGCAUAAAGAGUGUGAAUGGUUGUCAUGACAAGGCAUCAUUUUACUACAUCGUUUUACCUUGUGUAUGUGUUACGUCUCUAGAUUAAUAAAAAACACUAGUUCUUUUCUAAUAUUCUAUUUAUAUUUCAUGCUUUAACAUGUUAUUAGUACUGUGUUUCUCUAUGCACUUGCCCGAAAAAGAGGCACGGGCCAUUCCAUAGGAGAUAAUGUCAGGCGACGAAAGGAUUUUGUGUCGAUUUGUUGCUUGUUCUGCAUGAGGACAUCAGCACUGACAUCACCAAAUUAUGAUGUAUUGCUGCUUAUCACGCCCAAUUAGCGAAGUCGGCUCGACAGUUUAGCCAAGUUAGGCUAGGUGGGCAAGGAUUUCCAACUGGUUCUCAUGUCCAUGAGCGCUUGUUCCGAUUCAGAGAAAAUGAAAAUAAUAUAUACAAACUCAAUAAUAGUUCUUUGCAUCAAACAUCAAUCAAUUCGAUUUGGUUCUGAAUGCUUCAGGUGGGCCUCGAUUCAGCCAACUUCUUGUUGCAUCAGAAGUUGUACUUUCUACUUUUUAAGUACUCUAGCCUAGUGGAUAAUUUGUAUGUGAACGUUUGGAUGGGGAUUGGAUAGGGAAAUAAAAAUGGGUUGAGACAAAAGGAGGGGGCAUGAGAUGGAUGUAGUCUUUAUUUAUCUAUCCCUAUCUUUAAUUCAAUUAUCCAAACAUGGAAUCAAAUGAUCCCACCCUUAUUUCCCACUUCCUAAAUUGAAGGCCACGUUGACUUGGAAAAAUUUGGGCAUAAUCUGUUGUUAAGCUCUGCCACUAUAUUGAAAGAAAAUAAGUUCCCUAGAAAUAUCAAAAGUGGAUCACAUUUUGAAUAAAAUGAAUGCAACUAAAAGGGGCAAGAAAAAAAGGCUUAAACACGUGAUCAGAAUACAUGGAACAAGCUUUUGACAAUAAAUAUUAUCUACUAGUGGCAACAAGUCGUUUUACAAUAUAUGUAAAACGAUACAUAAUAUGCUAACAGAAAAGUAGAUAGACCCACACAACAUACAAUUGUUUGUGCGUAACACAGCUAGGUUAGCCAGGACCAACUUUGGGGAUGUCAUAGUGCUCGCUCAGGUUAGCCAGGUACUGGUUGAAGUCCUGCAUGCGGUCCUUGUACGACUUGUUUGCGACUUUGGCCAUCUUUUUCAUGUCGAUCUUCUGCUUCUGUUCCAUGUAGCGACGCUCUGCUGGUGUGAGAUGGUCAUAGUCAGAAUGUGGGUUCCUUUCGUCUCCAUUCUUAUCAGAUUCAGUCUGAGACGACUCCUCACGCUGGUACUUCUUCUUUUUCAUUGCACCGCCAUCCUUCACGUCCAGCGCUUUACCCUUCAGCUUCAGCCGUCCUCCAACGACGUUUUGAUAUUCCAACAUCUUGAUGUAAAAAAGAAAUCUAAUAAAGUUGUAGAGAGACUGCUAGAGACUGCUGUUGAGCACGAGAGAUGGAACCGUGAAAUUAGUAAAGAGACUGCCGAACCAAACGGCAUUGCUCAAGAAAUAUAUAUUACCAAGGCAAACGGGAUUGCAUCGUUCAGAGUAGGGGUGGAUAUCGAGCCAGCUCGGCUCGUUAUGGCUCGGCUCGUUAUAGCUCGUUACUAUAACGAGCCAGCUUGGCUCGGCUCGUUAUACUAACGAGCUAAACAGCUGGCUCGGCUCGGCUCGUUAGGAAGCUCGAGCCAGCUCGUUAGGCUCGCGAGCCACACAACUAAAUAUAAAGAUCUAUGUACAUAAAUAUAUGUAUAACCAAAAAAUCAUAUUUUAAGUGUUUAACACUACAAACAUGUGGCCAUGCAAUAAUACAAAUAUUUAAGCACAUGGCACAUCCACACAUGUCCAUAUCACAGAUCAUAACAACGAGAAAACAAGACUAUGAGAGAUGAGACGACACCAACGACUAGACAAACUUGUGUUGUGGCUUAGCUCGUUUGGCUCGCGAGCUAGCUCACGAGCUAACCCGAGCUGGCUCAUUAGAGAACCGAGCUAGAAUGCUAGCUUGGCUCGCUACAAAAUUAAAACGAGCCGAGUUGAGCCGAGCUACUAACGAGCCGAGUGGAGCGAGUUAUCGAGCCACGAGUAUUUCGUCCAGCCCUAGUUCAGAGUGUCCGUGUCCGUGUCCGUGUCCGAGCCCGAUCUCCUGUUCCACGCGGUGUCCGUGUUCGUGUCCAAGUCCGAGCUCCUGUUCCAAGCGGUUUUUGGCCGUUGAGCAGAGCACUCACCGUUGGGUCGUGGCGCGGCCCAUCCUCGUGCGGUGCUGCCGUGCAAGGGCAGGUUCUCUCCUGCGGGCUGCGGUGCUGUGCGCAGUGGCGAAGACACCAGGGGGGCCGGGGUGGGCCUGGCACCCCCCAACGGCCCAACUAAGGUAUACCACUAAUGUAUUCUAGAGCCCAUUAUUUUGCCAUCAGUUUAUUGUUUAGUAGUCUAAAACCCUUAAUUUUUUCCCUAGCGCGCACGAUCGGACGCCGCAUUGUCUUCUUCUCUCCGUCUCUCGUUCUCUGGCAGCACCUGCGCUGAGCGGCUCUGCCGUCUGCGAACUGCGGCUGGGCUGGCAGGCAGCACGCCGCACUCUGCGGCUCUACGCGAUCUGGCCGAGCGGCCAGCGGGCAGCAGGGACAGGGCGUCCAGCCGUGAGCUGUUCACCACCAAGCACCAGCCACCAGGCGUCCAGGCAGGUAGCCGAGUUUCUUAAUUUCUUUGAUGUUUGAUCUAGCUAGGUGCCUAGGUAAAAUAAUAAAUUAGAUAAUUACCAUUUAUCAGCUGUCAAUUAUGUUUAUUUGGGGCAUUGUGAUUAUGUAAUUUUGCAUCUACUUAAUUUCAGCCAAGAUGAAGAGAAAACUCAAGACAAUUGAUUGUUUUUCCAACGUGAUAAUCCUAGAGCUACUCCUAUCGAAAAUCCUAACCUAACCAAUGUGCAAGAUUCUGAUCCAAUUAAUUUGCAUACUGAGGCAGCUGAGCUAAAUCAACAAGAGACUUUAGCCACGGCAUUUGAGAGAGACCCUGGUGGCCUGGUAAACGUGUUCAAAUUUUGAGGCUACCUUUUGAUCAACAAGAUGAAGCUCGGAGAUUUUAUAUAUCUGAGGGCCCAUAUCAAGUUAUAUUAGAUGAGUACCCAUUGAAUGAUGCAUCUCAUGCUCGUCGAUUCCAGAGCAAUUGGUUUAAACAAUUUAGUUGGCUAGAGUAUUCACCUCAUACAGAUCGUGCUUAUUGUCUCCCAUGUUUUCUUUUUUCAAAGAAACCAAUUGGAAAGUAUGGAUCAGAUACAUUCACAGUCAAGGGGUUUAACAAUUGGAAAAAGGUUAAUGAAGGAAAGGAAUGUGCUUUUCUAAAACAUAUGGGAAAUUCUGGUUCUGCCCAUAACUAUUCUGUUGGAUGUUUCAAUAAUCUGAAAAACAGUAUGACUCAUAUUGACAAGGUGAUGGUUAAAGAAAAUGAGAAAUUAGUUGCAGAAGCAAGACUAAGGCUUACGACUACCAUCAAUUCCAUUAGGUAAAAAAUAAGUUUGUUUUUUAUGAUGUUUAUACAUAUGUAUACAUUAUUAUCAUCAUCAUCAUCUUAAUAAUUUAAUAUCUUAAACCUUGCAUGUUGUGUAGGUGGCUAACAUUUCAAGGUUGUCCAUUUAGAGGCCAUGAUGAAUCUCAGAAUUCAUUAAAUCAAGGUAAUUUUCUUGAAAUGGUCAAGCUUUUGGCUUCAUAUAACAAGGACGUGAAAGGAGUUGUGUUACAAAAUGCUCCAAAAAAUGCCAAAUACACUUCAUCUGAUGUCCAGAAGGAAAUUCUAAGCAUUGUUGCACGGAAAGUGCAAAAAUUAAUAAGAGAAGAAAUUGGCACUAGCAAGUUUUGCAUCAUGGUUGAUGAAGCUCGAGAUGAAUCUAAAAAGGAGCAAAUGGCAAUAGUCAUCCGUUUUGUCAACAAAGAAGGACUUAUCAAGGAACGUUUUCUUGACCUCGUUCAUGUGAAGGAUACUACUGCAGUGACUCUUAAGAACUCAAUUUGUGUUGUCUUAACUGCAACAGGUACACAACUUCUUUCAACAUGCAACUUUUAUCAUAAAUGUUGUUAGUUCAUCUACUAAGCGCAAUGAUGAGUUACUAGCUGCACAAGCUGAAGAAAUAGCUCGUGAAAUUGAAUUGGGAGAGCUUGACACUGGACAAGGUGCAAAUCAGAUGAGCUCUCUACAGAGGCCAGGGGACACUAGAUGGAGUUCCCAUUACAAGUCAAUUCAAAGCUUAAAGAAGAUGUUUAGCGCCACAAUUUCAGUCCUACGUAGUAUUGCAAAUGAUCGUUCAGUUUCAAAGUAUUCUCGUGGUGAUGCUGCAGGUGCACUACAAAUUAUUGUCAAAUUUGAUUUUGUGUUUAUUUUGCUCAUGAUGGAAAAGAUUAUGAAGAUAACCGAUGUGCUAUGUCAAACACUCCAAAAGAAGUCAAUUGAUAUUUUAAAUGCACUAGAUUCAGUUUCCAAUACUAAAGUCUUACUUGGUAACUUGCGAAAUGAUGGUUGGGAUCCUCUUCUUCAGGAGGUCAAUUACUUUUGUGAAAAGAAUGACAUCGAUAUUUUGGAUCUGAAUCACAAGUAUGUUUCCUUUGGCUAAAUUAUUGCACAAUUAUUAUUCAUAUCAUAUGAAUUGAUCUUAUUUGUAUUUUAUCACAUUUGUAGGUUUGUUGAUGUGACCAAAUCUCGAAAUAAGAAUGAUAACACCACCGUUUUUCAUCAUUAUAAAUUUGAUGUGUUUAAUGUUGCAAUUGAUCAACAACUGAAUGAGAUAGAAGAUCGAUUUGGUGGCCAAGCGACAGACCUUUUAUCACUUUGUGCUUUCUUGAAUCCAAUACUUGGCUCUUUUGACAUGGAAAAGGUAUGCUCUCUAGUGGAAAAGUAUUAUCCUGCUGAUUUCUCAAAUCAAGAAAGAAUGCAAUUAGAGUGCCAAUUGCCACAUUUUCAACUUGAUGUUUGCAACCAUCCAGAACUAAAGGGUUUAUCAUCUUUGGUUGAUUUAACAAGUGGAUUAGUUAAGCUGGGUAAAGAUUCUUCUUAUCCGAUGGUAGAUAAAUUAUUGAGAUUACUCUUAACUCUCCCUGUGUCAACUGCGACCACAGAGAGAGCCUUUUCAGCUAUGAAAUUUGUGAAGACACGUCUUCGAAGCAAAAUGGGAGAUGCCUAUUUACGGGAUUAUCUGGUCGUUUAUAUUGAAAGGGAAUUAGCGGCAAUGAUUAGUUCUGAUGAUAUUAUCAAGGCCUAUGAUCUAGCUAAUACACGUAGAGCUAAAUUCAAAAUAACUGAGAUGUAAUUUUAUUUUGUUUGACAAAAUAGAUGCUGUUUUAUUAUACUGUUUUUGUAAUGAACAUUAUAUAUCAAUAUAUGUAUUGUGGUUGGUUUCUUUGCCAUUUUAAUAAUGUAUCCUUGCUGGUUUGGUCGCUUGGAGGCUAAGUCUGCCCCCUAUCUUCGGAUCCUGGCUUCGCCCCUGGCUGUGCGCUGACGUCGGCGCAGCCGUGCAGUCAUGCUGCGGCGGUCGCCAAACUCGUCGUGCCUACGUCUCGCCCCUCACCCAUCUGCUCCCUCCGGCCAUGUGGAAUCGCCUCCUCUUCCCUCUCCAAAAAAUCUGCGACCGGUCUUCUCACAAUGCUCGGUCGUCGUGCCUGAGGCUCAUAGCGUCGUCGUCCUGCUGUUGCGAGGGGCUCCUGCUCCCUCUGGAAUCCAUCGGCGAGCCCCCUCCAGUGUAUAGGGCUAGCCAACGUAUAGUUUCUCUGCUCCGAUCUGCUCACCGAUUGUUCGCCUGCUCGGCAGCGCCUACCGAUCCGCCGUCUUUUUUGUGUGUGUCCUUUGUAGGGCUCUUCUGCUGCGGAUGCGGUAGUCUGGAACCUGUGUUGCUUUUUUCGUGUGCAACGUUCGUAGUCGUAGGUGAGCUGCCCGUUCGAGGCGUCGUAGUUCUGUGUGUUCCAUGUCGUCAAUGCUCUGCUCAGUGCUCUGGCCACGCAGGUUUUUCGCUUACGAAAGUUACGAACCAUGCUUAUGGGUUUUCCUGUCUUUGUUUCUAUAUGGUUGUCAUGUUUAGCCUCAGUGUCUUGUACGUGAUUUCAUUUAAUUCAUUGGUUUACCGGCGCUUUCACUCACCUUUGCCCGUGCUGAAAAAUUGUCUGAUUUGCAUCUGUGAAUCUCUAAUCAGGUAGGGAUACGCACAUUGUGCCGACUGUAUUACUCGCAACCAUCUUCGUUGGUCAUGUUCGACUUGGUGAAUCAACUAGAAAUCUGGAUAUGCUGCUUUUAUUUUUAGUGUUCAUUUUGUUUUCCUUUGUAUAUAAAUGUUUCAGGAAGUUGCAUCGGCCAGUGUUGAGAUGACUGCUACAUUAUGCCAAGCAAAAAUCCCUGUUUUCUUUUGUAUUCUGGAUAGUAUUCGGAGCACUGUUGGAUUUUGCCACAAAAUGCCUAUUUUUUGGGGGUUAUGAAUGGUUUCUUCUCGUAGAUAGAUGAUUGAUUUUGAAAGGAAACAAAGCUUAAUUUCUAUCUUUUCCUCCAUCCUAUGUACUGUUACUUUUGCUCGCGCAUUACGCGGGUGUUUAAUCAAUUAAUCAACACGUGUGAAUUUUUGCGGGCACCGUGUGGUUGCACGAAUAUUUAUUCAAUAUUCAAUACAUGUGAAUUUUUGCGGGGCACCGUGUGUACGUGUAAGCAGCUACUAAUCUAGUGGACUGAACUGAUCCAUUAUAGGACAUGCUCAGAAAGGGAAAGUUUAGACUUACAACUUCUUGUAGGUUGCUAAGUCGAGCGAGCUCAUGGUCGCAGGCUUGAUAAGGAGGACGUGAGGCCAAAAAAGAGUGAAAUUGGUAGGACUUUUGAUAGGUGGCUGAAUCCCAUGGCACAUGAUUAGCUUCAAACGAACUCUGCUAACCUCAAACGACUGCUACAGUGAUUGCACGUAGCGCAUUAGUGCCUUGUUGAUCACCUGAACUGGCAAGUCAAGGGAUUGAUCAACUUCUACCACUUCUUAAUUUUCAUGCUUCCUCAUUCAGAAACCAGACCAUCGGCAUCCUGGCAUCGGGUAUUGAAGAACCUUCAUCCUUUGGUCGAUUAUUUGCAGUUGGAUGUGCCUGUGGUCGCGGUGGAUGGCGACUGGGUGGUACACAGGCGUUUUAGAGCGGGCCGCCGGGACGUCGAGGUCCGCGGGCGUGGCCGGCUUGUGGCAGUGAUAGACGACGGUUUCGGCAAAGUGAGCCGCGCCCGUCGACGGGCCCGAGUCAGUGGGUUUUGAGGGAGUGGCACGCCCGCGACGGUGGUAGACGAGAGUGGGGUCGGCGAAGCGAGCCACGCUCGUCGGUGGGCCGCGCAUUGCCUAGGAGGUGUCGACGAGAUCGCGCGUGGCGUAGGCGUGGUCGACGGGGCUGCACAUGGCGCGAGAGGAAUCGACAGGACCGUGCAUGGCGCGGGAGGAGUCGACGGGGCCGCGCGUGGCGCAAGUAGUGUCGACGGGGUUGCACGUGGUGCUGGUAUGGUCGACGAGGCCGCGUGUGGCGCAGGCAGGGUCAAUGGGGCCGCACGUGAGAUGGGAAGAGGCGCGAGCAGAGGCAUCGAGGCUGCACGUGGUGCAGGCAACGACGCAAGGUGGGGCGCCUGGGGUGGAGGGGUAAUCGGAUCAAACUCGAGAAGGGAGUCAAGAUCGGUAGGUGGGGAGGAGCCAGCAAGGGGAAACACAUCUUCAUCGAAGACGACGUGACGAGAGAUGAUGAUGCGGUGUGAGGCGUGGUCAAGACAACGAUACCCCUUGUGGUCUGGGAAGUAGCCAAGGAAGAGGCAUCGAGUGGAGCGAGGAGAUAGCUUACAAGCAGCGAUGUCGGAAUUGUUAGGAUAGCAGGCACAACUGAACACGCGAAGGUGGUCGUAGGAGGGGUUGUGCCAUAUAGGGCGAAGUGGGGAGUAGGGUGGCUCACUGCCUUCGAGGGAAGACGGUUGAGGAGGUGUGUGGCGGUGUGUAGGGCCUCUACCCAGUAGCUGGCAGGGAGAGACACAUGGAAGAGAAGUUAGCAGAUCAUAUUGGUGGUGGUGUGAAUCAUGCGUUCGGCCCAACCGUUCUAGGCAUAGGUGUAGGGGCCCAAGAUACGCACCUGGACACCGUUGGUGACAAAGAAAGAACGAGAGGCAUGAUUGUCAAACUCGCGGCCAUUGUCACACUUCAGGGCACGGACCGAGCGAUGGAAAUGGGUGGAUACCCAGGCGAAGAAGUGUGUGAGGGUGGUGAACGUGUCGGACUUCAACCGAAGAGGAAAAACCCACAAAAAAUGGAAAAAAUCAUCCAAAAUCACCAAAUAGUAUUUAUAACCAGAAAGCCUGGUCCAGAGAUCACAAUGAACCAGGUCAAAAGCCUACUCAGCCCGAGAAGUAGUAAAUGGGAGACGAGUAUGUUGGCCUAAGUGACAAGCAUGACAGAGGCCCUCAAAAUGUCCCCUACUAUUUGAAGGAUCUAAACUACUGUUAAGCUUGAUCAUGGUGUCAUGUCCUAGGUGGCCAAGACGAUGAUGCCAAGUGAUGGAGGAGGUGGUGGAGACCAAGGCGGGAGGUGGAGACGCGUCGAUGGUGGAAGGCCGGAACGUGUAGAGGGGCUCAGUGCUGUCACAGCUCGCGAGAGGGUUCCUGGUGGCCAGAUCCUUCACAGAAAAACCAGAGGGGUCAAACUCAAUGGAACAAGAAUUGUCGGUGGUGAACCAACGAACAGAAAGGAGAUUAUAGGUGAUGUGUGGGGCUAUGAGAACGUCGUUGAGAUAGAACGACCCAUGUGACCCACAUAGUGGAACCAUUUCCAAUGACGAUUGAGGUGGGAUGGGAGGUAGGAGGGGGUGGGAGCGAGAUAGUGUGCCUGCAGUGGGGGUGGUGUGGUAGGAGGCACCAGAGUUGACCACCUAGCCGGAGGGGGUGGGGUCAUCGCCAUGGUGCUGAAAUUGGCGGCGAGGAAGGCGGGGUCCCAUCCUCCAGCCAGCGGAGACUAAGGCGUCGAGGUGGUGGUCCCCAGGGCGGGAGAUGUGGCGUGGCCAGAGUUGUCAGCGGUACACCGAAGGGAAGCGCAGUCAGGAGGACCGACAUCGAAGGAAGGGAGGCACUCGAGGCUUGACCUAGCCACAUGGAGACGUUGAACACUAAGGUACGGUUGGCGACGGGCUCGUCGAGGUCAAGGAGAGAGUCUGUGUAACAUCCCAAUUUUCAACCCAGGUUUGAAACCCUAAUCUAACCCCCCUUCUUAUUAUCUAUCCCAAAUCUCCCCUAGGUCUUCCCAUCAUAUGCAUACACUUUGAUUGAAUAUGAACACCUCACUUAGAUUUAAUUUUCCAGCAUCUAGAUUAUCUAGUAAUUUAAUUGUUCAAAAGAAAAGGGUAUAAAAAAUGGAUAUAGAAUUUGGGAAAAUAAAAAGAAAAAGAGAAACCCUUCUCUCCCCCUAGCUGGGCCAAAUCCAACCCAUGCCGCGGCCGCUCCCCCCCCCUCGCGCCCGCAACUCCCCCUUUCGGCCCAUCUCCGGCCUGCCUCCGCACGCGCGCCAGCCCGCCCUGAGCUCUCCCUUUCUCUCGCUGACGAGCCAUCCUCACCCGCGAGCCGCUCUCACCAUCGCUCUCUCGCGCGCUCACUCCCGCUGGCAGACCGGCCCCACCGGUCAGCCGCCUCGUCGUCCUCCCCACGUAUGGCUCAUCGCGGUCACCUCCGACCAUCGUCCCCUCCAUCGCCCCGUCCCCUCGCCCAUCACCUCUCCGCACAGAGAAGUUUGGCACCGCCCCAUCCUCGCCGCUUGACAGCGUCCUUGCCCGGUACCGCCCCGCCGUGCGGUCUCGUCGUCGCCGCUGUGCGGCAUUAAAUUCUGGCGCUGUGCACCUCACCGGCGUCCGCCAAGCUCCACUGCUCCCCUCCCCUCGGCCGCCUAUAAAAGGGUCGCCCCGAGCACUCCCUUGCCCCGCACCGGCCUCAGCCACCCCUCUUUCCCCUCGCCCGAGCUCAAUUCGCGGAAGCGCCGCCGUCUUCUCCCUCUCUGGUAAGCCCUUCCCCCUCUUCUCCCUCCCCCUCUGGUUGUGUAGCAAGCAAUUAGCUAGGCCUAUCAGCUUCGCCACACCGCCGUGAGUUUGGAACACCGCUCCCCUACCCCAAUCCCUGCCCGAAGCUCACCGGCGGCGACUCCCGCCGUGGAGCUCUGCCACCUCCCCGCGGACAGCCCCCUCCUGGCCCCUUCUAGCCAAAUUGAGCCCACCCCUAGGUUCGCCAGCCCCUCCUCGUGCUAAGGCGCCUACCCGUUGCCCAAGAACCGGGUCACCGGCGACGAAUCGCCGCCGAGCCCACCGGCGGCCGGGUUCUCCCCGCGGACGGUCGGUUCACCCCGCUAUCGACCGCUGGCGCCGUCCCCCCCCCCCUUCCGCUCUCUCUGUCAUGUGGGCACCGCGGAGACGCCGUCACCCUCGCGCGCCCGCGCCGUCUUCCGCCUUGGGCCGCAACUGGGCCAGCGCACUCGCGCCGCGCGCGCGCAGCGCCUGGCUGGGCCAGAAUCCCCCCCCGACCCACCAGAGCUGAAUCCCUUUUUCUUUUUCCUUUUUUCAGCCUUUUCUCCUUUAAUUAGUACUCCUCAAUAUUUUAUGCACCAAAAAUUAUCAAAAAUAAUUUCUAAAGUCACAUGUAAUAAUAAUGUUAGAAAAUGACACACUACAAUUAGUAAACCACUGUUGAUGUAUUGUUUUAUUGCCUGUUUUACUAGAAGAAGCGGGGACUAGAGAUGGCAACGGGUAAAAACCUGCUAGGUAUUACUUGCCCAAACUCAUACCCGCGAAAAAAAUAUACACCCGCUAAAAAACCCAUACCCAUGACGGGUAUAAAAUUUUGCCCAAACCCAUACCCAUGCGGGUUUCGGGUACCCAACGGGUUUCCCAUACCCACUAACAUCAGCAUAAAAAAUAAUUCAUCAUGUAAAUAACAACCAAUACAUUAAUAAGCUAGGAUAAAAGGAACAAGUGAUAACUAAUUUUAGCUUAAAAUUUGUUACAUGAAGUUUAUUUCAAUUAGAACAUAUUCAAUUAAUAAUAUUAUGAGACAUAUUUAUAAGGAAUGAUGAUUUUAAGGCGGGUUUUAAAAACCCAUGGGUUUGCGGGUAUGGGUAGUGGAAGAACAAACCCAUGCCCACGUACUCGUUGGGUUUCCAUUUGAACCCAUUAACAAACCCAUGGGUAGAGAAAUUGACCCAAACCCAUACCCUAAUAGAGCAAAAACCCACCGGGUUUCGGGUAGCGGGUACCCAUUGCCAUCUCUAGCGGGGACCGUCGAUCCGGAACCCGUAACCCCGGAAGAAGGGCCGGAGCCCGAUCUCCCGGAGGUAGACCUUUUGUGCUAGGAAAGCUUCGACGAAGGCAAGUCCAUCCUUCCCUUGAUGCAUAAAUUACCUAUUCUUUCUACCACUACCUAGGCCGGGAUUUCAGGGUGGGAUAUUAGCAUUGUGAGUAGAGAGAUAGCCCGCAUUAACAUAUAUCUUUUGGACACGAAAUGUGGAUUGGGAGAAAGGGCAAUAUGUUUCUUUAAAUAAGGUUUCUUUUAAAAAGGGAUGUGCGAUGAAGGGUAUUCACCCUCAUCACCUUGGGAGUGGGAUGAUCAGGGACUCACUGGUUUAGGGGAGGGCCUAAGGUGUUGGCUCAGCUGGUUUAGGCGUGAGCAGAAGGAUUGUCCCCUCAUAUAAGGACCGGUUUGUCAUCUUUCACUACCUGUACUCAUAAAUAGUACAACCACUUGAGACUGUGUGGGCAGUCACUCAAUCCGAACUCGUACGGUCCGACCCCAAGGUUAUGAAGGUUGGGGAGCACCGGGAGGAUAAGGAGGGGGAAUGUUUUGUCCGGUUUGGACAUGGCGGUGGCCUGAAUCCUUCCAGUAUAACCGUUAAGGUUAGGACGUGCGAGGAAAGAAAGAGAUAUGGCAUUCGGGUCUCACGACGGUGAGAUCGCAGAAACCGGACUAGUGGGUAAAGUGUACCCCUCUGCGCAGAGUUGAAACCUAUUCGAAUAGUCCAUGUCCACUGGUAUGGACGAGUCUGGUGUGGUAUGACAAUUAGAGAUUUUUACAACCUCCGUGAACAAGGAAAUGUGUGUGUAAGUGCGUACUGAAAAAGAAAACAAGGCCACGGGAGCGGGAAGCUCAGUGGUGGUUGAGUACUUUGUUACUUUUAAGUCUUUUGGAAAACCUCACAUCAACUGCCUUUCUCUAAGAAAAUGAAGAGUGACUUCAACUCCACCAAAUAAAGCAUGUAUGAUGUAGGUCUCUUUCUCUUUACGGGAGCGGGGUGGGCUUGAGGAAUACCUAGUGUAUUCACCCAGAUUUAUUUAUGUUUUUCAGCAGCCGAAGACUUCUUUUCUGCUAUGCUUGAUUGAGAGGGCUGUGUCUGCUCCCAGUUCUGCCUGUGGCUUGGGCUAGUACACUUUCUACUGCGCUUUAUAUUCUGGCUCUCUCGAGCUUGUACCCCGGUAUUGUAAUAACUUUUAUUUAAACUCUGUACUAUUUGAAGUAAGGAAUGUGGUUACUAGCCUCCUGGGACUAGUAAUUGUUUCACAUUUGAGUCCCAAGGGAUCGGGACGCUUCAGUCUGUCAUGCCCUUCAUCUAGCAACACUACUCUCCCACGAGAGAUGCCCCUAAGCAAACAGGUGGAACUGAGCAUCGAGGUGGAGCGCCCAAGCCCCACGCCUUGCGAGCGGUGUCCACCUAGUCAUGGACGAUGUCCUGUAUCUCGACGGUGAUUGUGUCGUUGAGCCACGAGAGUACCACGCUGUCCAUCUAGGCCCACGAGGGAGACAACGGGAUCCGUAUCCAUACCCAUACCCACCGGUAUCCGCUAUUCGGUGGAUACCCGUUACCCGCCCGCCCACUACAAUUUUAGCAUUCAACACUAAACAACAAUUUUAUCACAUUUCAAAAUAAUUAUCAUUCCAGCAGCAUCAAAUGAUAAUUUCAGCACCAAACAAUAUGUCAUGGAUAAAAAUUGAAAAAAUGAGAAUUAAUGAUAAUAUAUUAAAUCCGAAUGGCCCACAUGUGAGAUAUCCAUUGGGUAACGGGUAUGGAUACUGGAUAUCCAUACCCGCGAAAAAUUAUCCGUGGAUACCUUAUUAUAUCCAUAACCGUACUUGCGGAUACCAAAUUCCACCAUACCCGUAUCCAAUAGAUAAUUAUCCACGGUCAUUUACCCAUACCCGUACCCAUUGCCAUCCCUACACAUGACACAGUUGAGCAACACACGGAGAGGCUAAGUGGUGCAGAGCAUAACAUAGAAGUGAUUUGUGCUGUCAGUAGCCUGCCCUCUCCUGUCAUGGACAUGGCAUAGUCCUUGGGGGGUCUCCGCCGGUGUCAUAUUCUUCCCCUUGCCCGGUGGCUUCUGGUUCUGCCCGUCGUUCUCGUCGAAGCUAUCGCUGUCGGUCUGCUCUAGUGUGGGUUUUCGGUUUAGGUUCCCCUCGCCUCCCUCCGCCUUGCACCUCUUGGCACCCAGAUACAUCUGGUCCCCUACCUUGGCAUACAGAUCUCUGCUCCCCUACCUAAAUGAACAUCGGCAUGACGAAAAUUUAGUGACGUCAGACAUGGGGUAGGAGCAAGGUCAUGGACAGCAGGCCAGUAAUUCGAGGUCGAGCAAAGACAAAGCUCACACACCUGGUCAGUAAACUCCUAGGCUUAUCACCUUGUCGUCGUGGCAUUGACAUCCUUAAUCGUGGACGCCAGGUCCGACACCUAUGAAGCCACCUGGGAGUGGACAAACUCGGUGCAGUUGGCGAUGGGCACCGACGGAGGCAGCCCGAAGAGGCCGGCGAAGCGGUGCCCCUGAAGCUGGACAGCCGCGUAGCGUGCACCAUGCACCCUGGCUGCAUAAUGUAACCGAGUUAUUAUCGAAGAAGCGAGGAGAGACACAGUGGGGUGAGCAGCAGCACUGUCAUUGUCGUCGUUUCCUUCACCUUGUACCAUGUCACUUUGUCGAACGCAGAGAAGGCGGUUGCUUGUUCUCAACGUGGAGAAAGUGAUGCCUGGGUUCUAGAAUAAUCCAGUAACACACAUGACCGAAUCGUCCAUUCCUGCUACAGGAAAGAAAAUGUGAAGCAUCUUUGGCCAUUGGAACGUGAUCUUGUGGCCGGGAAAAAGAUCCAAGCGCCGCCUUCCCUCCCACAACUAUAGAGCCAAACGCGCUCGGCCUCUGGAAGCAUCGCGACGUCGACGUGUGGAGUUGCCGAGAGGCUAUACAUGAUAAUGUCCACUCGGUGUUCAUCGUUUGGGUGCCAAAAAAUAGCAAAGUCAGAAUUCUAUCAUUUUUAGCUCUUGCUUUGUAUUGUUAUGUAGUAUUAGGACUCUAAAACUAUCUCAAAGGGAACAGUACUAUGAAAUGGUUCUGGGGCUCUAAACAUAUAGCGAUGAAUGGACAAAGUGGUUGCUGGGCACAACCAUAGCUGCUUGCCUUACUUAUGAUGUAGAUUAUUUCUCUGUACCAUUGGGGGUUAGUAUGUUGAUGCUUUCUCCGAGCUCAUUGUGUUUUUUGCCUCCAAGUACUCAAUAAUAGCCCUGAUCUCUCAUCAUCAUGGCUAGUUCGUUGGCCAUGUUCUGCUUGGUGUCAUCAACUGGAAUUCUGGAUAUGCUGCAUUUAGUGUAUUUGUUUAUUAUGUUUCCUUUGUAUAUGAAUGCUACAGCGAACCGCAUUGGCCAGUGUUCAAAGCACUACUACAUUAUGCCAUGAGAAAAUGCCUUGUUUUUUUGGUUAUGGAUAGUGUUUGUGACUUCAGCUCUUGAUAGAUAUACCACACCAACACAUAUUGUUGCCUUGCUUGUUCAGAGCCUUCUCAUUGCAUCAUGCUUAUCCAUGAUAUGUUAUCUAUCUAACCUGUAGUUUUGCAAUAUAAUGUUUUUUGCUAUUUUUGUAUCUUCCCUAAUGUUUGCGCCUUUUUAGAGAAAUGAGGAUGAUGUGCCCAUGGAUCGACGACCAAGCCUCUCAAAAAGGUUGCGGGCAAGAGGUUCGGUCGAUAUCGAUAAACUUAUCUAUUUCUCUUAGUCCCAUAUUGUGUGAGAUACUAAAUAUAUGGAGUGGAAACAACUUAUGUGCAUGACUCGCCGAUCCCCCGCCAAGGAAACUGCUAGUAAGCUUUUCGUAGGUGGAUACGAUAAAGAGGAUGGUGCUGAUGCCUACACAGAUGGUCCUGCUAUACCUUGGUAACUCCACUUACUUCCGAGCCCUUUAGAGAUGAUAUAGCUAUUUUUAGCCGGUUGUUUUCCAGCACUGGUUUGACCGCGGAUCGAUGUGUGAACAAAUGAAUUAGAACACCGCGCUUCAAAAGGGUAAAACUUAAGAUUAAAACUAACCACUUAAACAACCAUCAUUAUGAUGGCUUCCUCCUGAACUAAGACCAUUUUCCCUUCACAUGCAAUAUGCUACAAUCAUAGGGUUAUGUGCAGAUUCUUAGAAAACAUUGAAGUUGUUAUGUUGCCAAUAGCAUAUGCCUACACUUGCAUAUCUUGUUAAUUAAUUAGGCUUUACUCUCUCAUAUGUUCACUGUGUACAUACCGGUGAUACCUACUGGCAGGUGAACCCUUCUACAGUACACCAUAGCUACCUAGAAUCAUGUUUAUCCAUCUAGAAGCGUUGUUUUGCUGCUCACUACCUUAGGGUCACCAGGUUUGAAUGUUCUUCUUACAAUAUACUUUUUAAGCUAGAAUCAGCUGGUUCAAAACUAUGAAUUCAUUUGAUAUAUUGAAUAAUACUGAAUAGUUGUCUAUACUCCUAAACAUGAAUGCGUACAACAAUUUUCUUAGGUUAAAUCAUGUGUUAUUCCUAUAUAGAAAGUACCAAUAGUACCAACAGAGCGUAUGAUGCAUUAGAAUUAGAACAUGUUGUUUUAUUCGUAGUGUGCUCAUUGCCCUGGUUUAGGUCUUCCACCUCCACAGUCGCGCAUGGGAUCAGGUUCCUCACUGUUGUUGCUUUCGUUAUCCCUACCUCCGAAGACUCUUGAAGUGUCCUGGAGAAUCAUGACACCAUAGCUUCUCAUCUGAACAAAAAAUAUUCUCAUCGUGCUCUAAAACACUUCUAACGUUACCUCUAAAUUGUUAGUUUCCUAGAAGAUUUUAGUGGAAGUGUAGUUGGUUCAGCUUGGGAACAAAGGUUGAAAAGAGAAGGUAGGUAUCACUGGUGGGGACAUGUUAAAGUUGUUUAAAAAACUGCACCUGCGCGUCACCAAUGAUCCUCGAAGAUUUUAGUGGAAGUGUAGUUGGUUCAGCUUGGAAAAAAAGUUGAAAAGAGAAGGUAGGUAUCACUGGUGGGGACAUGUUAAGUUGUUUAAAAAAACUGCACCUGCGCAUCACUAAUGAUCCUCGAACGACAUUUAUAAUUAGUUGAUCUUGUUUCCCAAGAACCGCUAAGUCAUUUGCCACAAAUAAAUAUGGUCUUGAGGUGAGUGAUGGGCUAAAUGGCCAGUUCAAAUAUGCAGAUACAGAACACCCUAUACACUCUCUAAAAUACAUGACAAGUACGCUAUCAGCGUGCCUUCAACUUCCAGGAUCUUCAAAAUCGUCAAAACAUUCUCCAGUUGCAGAAACUGUUUAGGCUUCUUCUGAAUCAUAAAUUGUGAUGCCCUUUUUUCAACUUUGUUUGUCUUAUUGUUUGCAUAGUGUUAUCGCCUAGGGAUCUAUGCUUCAUGCUAUAAUAAUAUGUCAUACAUAAAUGUUUUUUGGUGCUCAGAAGCACACAUAUGUAAACUUUAUAGGUUCAUGUGUAGUCUUCAGCUCUUUGUUGUGCAUCUCUUAUUGAAAUGCCUACUUCGAGUUACUUGCCAGUUUAUUUUCCAGGAAUCAACCAAAAGCAAAAAUGUUUAUUUUUUGUGUAUCUGACGUAAAGAACUUUUUUCCCUUCUGCAGAUCCGGUGAAGAUGCCAUCUAGACAAAAGAUAAAGGAUCUUUUGCUUUUGUGCUCCUAGAAAUUAUGCAGUUGAUACUUUUUUUAUCAACUUCUACCUUCCAUCCUGGUUGAUGAAACUUUGUGUUUUUGCGUCUGUUAAAACAUUGCAGAGGACACGUUGGUCUACUUCUACCUUACCCUCUGUAGUUAUGCUUGAAUUGUGUACAUGGAGCAUCUUGUUGACCCCCUUGACUUUGGGCCUUCAGUGGUAGUAUCAGGACCCAACAUAUCGGCCGUUUUUUUGCAUUUUAGCCCCUUGUACAAAAAAAUCACUUUUAGACCUCUAAAAAAAUAUUCUCGUUUUUUGACCCUUUGCUCGGCGCCAUGACCAACGGCGUCGAGGUAACACUGAUCGGCGCCGUAGACCAUGGCGCCGAUGUAUCAACUUCGUUGUCAUCUGGUUGCUGCGUUGGCGCUUACAUGGCGUGAUCUCGGCGUCAUAGACCAUGGCGACGUGGUAUCAACCUCUCUCGUAUAGCUGUCCGUUCGUGCUCAGCUGCAUAGGAAAGCAGCAAUGAUGGCUGACUUUCGCUGUUUGUGACAUGCGCAUUGGCGAUGGCGUGCAUCAGUAGCCCCCUAGGCAAUGGACAAUAACAUGACGUCUUCUGGAUGUCCAACCAUCAUGCGCAUUGUCUAGGGGCUGUUGUUGCACGCCAUCGUCUAUGUAAAUGUCACAUACAACGAAAGCCGAUCAUUAUUGCUGCUUUCCCAUGCAGCUGAACAUGAACAAACAGAUAUGCGAGCGAGGUUGAUACCUCGGCGCCCUGAUCUAUGGCGCCGAGGUCACGCCACGUAAGCGCCAACACAACAACCAGAUGCCAACGAGGUUGAUACCUCGGCGCCAUGUUCUAUGGCCCCGAUCAGUGUUACCUCGGCGCCGGAGGUCAUGGCGCCGAGCAAAGGGUCCAAAAACGAGAACGUUUUUUAGAGGUCUAAACGUGAUUUUUUCGUAUAAGGGGCUAAAGUACAAAAAAUUCGGACAUAUCGACAACCAGCUAUGAUGGCUGGUAGACGUGAAACAUGACCGGAUGUAACAUAUGGAUGGACCGAAUUGUUGAACCUUGUAUGGAACAUAUGUUGACAUGUUGUGGUCCUACUUUGGUAUAUGGAAAUAUGUAUGAUAUCAGUUGUGUUCCUUCCUUGUGUUUGUGAGAAUAGAUAAACAUAACACCGUUGCACGUGUGUCGCAAAAGGUUCCUGAAUAGGAGGGCGCACAAAGCGCGCCUCAUGUUCUAGUAAUAAUAAUAUAGAGAGAUAUGUGACCUAUGUCAUAUAAUUCACUUUAUUUUACCAAAAAAUAUAGAAGAAAGCAAAAGUUUACAUUUCAAGCCUCCAAGGGCUUCACAUCUAGAUACACAGGUAUUAGUCGACCAGACAAAUAUCAUAUAUGUUUGAGUUGAAUCCAUUGUCGAGUCAUUUUUUGGCAACGUCUACUACGUUGCAUACAAGUUUUUCAUGUUUUCGAUCAAAAUUAGCGGUAGUUAUAGACUUGUGGAUCCAAAUUAAGGCUUAAACCAAAUUUCAAUCUUAAUAACCUUCUCAUCGAUUUAUGUUCAAACCUGGAGAUAAAUAGAAGGGGAGAAGGUCCUUGUUUUUAAUUGUGUUGUCUCGCUUUGAUGUCUUUCAAGAAUCAAAACGAGUGACCAACAAUACAUAGGGGUGGUAAUGGAUCGUGAACGAAAUGCUUCUUCAUAAAAUAGUAGGGCCCUAAAUAAAUUUUAGUUCAAAAAUGAAUAGAACUAGGAUACGAUCCUAAUCCGAUUCGAUCAUUAAAUUUUAUAUUGUAAAAUUUGGAGCACAUUAUCACCCCUAACAAUACACCCAUCCAUGGUCUUAAAAGUUCUAUGAUUGCUUCUUGUACACAUUCUAGAUCAUCUUUAUUGAGAUCGUACUUAAAUUCUGGCCAUCAUUAAAAAAAGGUGCCUAUCCUUUAGGUUCACAUUUUUUCUUAAUUAUGCUUGAACUGAGAUUUAAUGUUUAAGAAGAGAUGCCAAGCUACUGGUGAUCUAUUGCCAAGUGAUCUCAAGCAACUGGAGUGCAUGGCCAUGGUGAAAUCUUCAUCACCACGAUACCUCCACAUCUCUUUACUAUUCCACUUUUACUUGCCCACCACUUUUCAACUCUGAUCAACCCAACUCCUUAUGAUUUGAUCAGGAAGAAGAGCCCCUUGCCAGUUUGGUAAAGGAGAUCAUGGGAGGUAGGAGGAUUUCGUUUAUCACGAAUCUGUAUCUAGACGAAGAAGCUCCAAUAGACACUAGUACAAUUUGGCUCUAUACAAGCGGUAGGCUUUUUACAUCACAGGCGGUUCGGAUAGAAAACCGUCUGGGAUGUCCCAGGCUUUCGGACCGCCUGUGCUGUAUUAGUAUCACAAGCGGUUUUUGUUUCGGACUGCUUGUGGUGCUCGAUUCGUUUCACAAACGGUCUGUAAUGAGAAAACCGCCUGUGAUGCACGAUUCGUAUCACAGGCGGUUUUUGUUUCGGACCGCUUGUGGUUUGAUUACCAUAUUAAUAUUUUUCUUUUUAACAAAAAAUAUGCAUUGAGCUUGAAUGAUUUUAUUGAUGUAAAUACAAAAAAUAUGCAUUAAGCUUGAAUUAAUAUUUUAAUUUUUAACAAAAAUAUGCAAAUACAAUUUAAAUGAAUUUUAAUAGCACACAUAGAUAACUAGCGAGAUUUUAAAUUAAUUGGCAACCACAAUGCAUAGUCGAUCAUACAUGCUAAUAAAUACAAUUUGAUUCAUACAGUUUUUCAUGAACUACCAUUUUUCCACAUGUAUGGCUUUAAGUUCUUAUCAAUUUUAUUUUCCACGCGCUUGAUUCUCUCUAGACCGUUAAAGACGAACAUCUCUUCAUACUUAUUGUAUUCCUCAUCUCCGUCUCCCACAUUCUCAACUCCAACAAUUUUUUGCUUUCUAGAAAUAACUACAUGCAUCUUCUCAUCUGCUGGAUCGAGUACAUAGAACACUUGUGCAACACAUUCGGCGAGAACCCACAGGUCAUCUUUAUAUCCUACUUUCUUUAAGUCUACCAGUGUGAGUCCGUAGUUAUCCACUGUCACCCCCACAGGAUGUUGUACCCAUUGGCACUUAAAUAAGGGUAUUUUCAUGCUUGGGCCAUAAUCAAGUUCCCAUAUUUCCUCUAUGAAUCCAAAAUAUGUGGUCUUCUGUCCCUGUAGGUCAAAAGCAUCGAUACGAACACCGCUAUUUUGUGCAACACUUUUCAUGUCUUUUGAUUUAGUGUAGAAUGUGUACCCAUUGAUGUCAUAUGCUUGCAUGAUGUCACAAAACACGAUGGCCUAGAAGCCAAAUUCUUCAUUGUUUUCUCUUCCAAAGAGUCUCCGAAUGGGAUGUUUUUGUCCAUUAACCAUUCGCUGAAACGAUGUUUGUGCUCUCUCAUGAUCCAGUCCUCUGUGCGGUUCUGAUUUUCUUUACGAAGCUCAUCCAGGUGUUCCUCUAUGUAAGGCUCGGCUAUCGUGAGAUGUUGUAGUACACUACCAUGAGCACAAUGUACUAGCUUGUAAUCCUCGACACGAAAAGUUUUCCUGCCCAUUCUCCCUCUCCCACAUAGUUUACCCUCAUGUUUAGGUACAGGCACACCUAUCAUUGUUCCAUCACUGAUGUAAUCUAUACAGCUCUCAAUCACUUCUUCUGUAGUGUAUCCCUCCAUGAUUGAACCCUCUGGGUGAGCGCGAUUUCGCACAUAACCUUUUAAUACUCCCAGGUAUCGCUCCAACUGAAACAUAUGAUGUAAAUAUAGUGGCCCUAAUAUUUUUAUCUGAUCCACGAGAUGUAUGAUUAGGUGUACUUGCAUAUCAAAAAAUGAUGGAGGAAAACACAUUUCAAGCUUGCACAUAGUCUCGAUGAUGUAUGCCUUUAGAUAGUCCAAGUCUUCUAAAGCUAUUACUUUUUGUGAAACCACAUUGAAAAAGUAACACAAGCGUGUGAUGACAACUUUGACAUGCUCUGUUUUGAGGGCUCUUACCGCAAUUGGGAGGAACACCGUCAUCAUCACAUGGCAGUCAUGAGAGUUGUAGCCAAAUAGAGACAAGUCCUUCAUCCUGACUAGUUUGCUGAUAUUGGAUGAGAAACUUGUGGGCACUUUGACCCCACGCAAACAUUUGCAAAUCUGUGUUCUCUCCUCAACUGAUAAGUUGUAGCUAGCUGGGGGGUGGCAAGGCUUCCCUUUGCCACUAUCCACUGGAUGAAGUUCUGAUCUGAUUUGAAGAUCUACUAGAUCAUUGUGUGAUUUAAGUUCGUCCUUUGUCUUGGCAUGCCCAACAAGGUUCCAAUGAUGCUGUCAAAAACAUUAUUUGUUACAUGCAUCAAAUCAAUGUUGUGGCAAAUUUCCAUAUCCUUCCAGUAUGGGAGGUACUUGAAAAAAAUUGAUUGCUUCUUGAAAGUUGUGUAAGUUGAAGGGUCAGUACUCUUUCUCUUUUCUACUUUGUUUUUUCCCUUUCCGAAUACAACGUGAAUGUUCUUUACAAUUUCAAAAACAAGUUUCCCACUAUAAGGAUUUGGUGCACCUUGACUUUCCAGUUCAUUGUUAAAUUCCUCUUACAUCUUUCGGUACUUAUGCUGCUUCAUCAAGAACCAUCUGUGUCCCAUGAACACCAACUUCUUGGAUGAUUUAAGGUACAUGGAAGCAGUUCCAUCGACGCACACUACACAACCAUUCUUUCCUUUAGUCUUUUGCCCUGAUAGUGUGGCGCCACCGGGAGAAUCAUGGAUGGUAACAAAUAUAAUUGCUCUUAUGUUAAAAUACUCAUGACAAUACUCAUCCCAUAUUCGAACUCUUUCAUUCCAGAGCUUUGUCAUAUCUUCCAUUAGAGGUUCUAGGAACACAUCAAUAUCAACACCAGCUGAUUUCGGACCUUGAAUAAGAAUAGUAAACAUAAUGUACUUUCUUUUGUGACACAGCCAUGAUGGAAGGUUGUACAUCGUUAAAGUCACGGGCCAGGUGCUAUGUACACUUCUUUUUUCACUAAAUGGAUUCAUUCCGUCUGUAUAUGUACCCAAAGCAAAUCUUACAUUUCUGGUUUCUUUGGCAAACUCAGGAUACAUAAGAUCAAAAUUUCUCCAUUGUGAUGCAUCAGCAGGGUGUCAAAUUUGUUUGUUACUCUGCUUACCUCUCAUCGUCAUGGCCAGUUCGUUGGCCAUGUUCUGCUUGGUGGCAUCAACUGGAAUUCUGGAUAUGCUGCAUUUAGUGUAUUUGUUUAUUAUGUUUUCCUUUGUAUAUGAAUGCUGCAGCGAACUACAUUGGCCAGUGUUCAGAGCACUGCUACAUUAUGCCAUGAGAAAAUGCCUUGUUUUUUUGGUUAUGGAUAGUGUUUGUGACUUUAGCUCUUGAUAGAUAUACCACAUCAACACAUAUUGUUCCCUUGCUUGUUUAGAGCCUUCUUAUUGCAUCAUGCUUAUCCAUGAUAUGUUAUCUAUCUAAUCUGUAGUUUUGCAAUAUAAUGUCUUUUGAUAUUUUUGUAUCUUCCCU
rnacentral:lncRNA from 1 species